AAAAGAAAAAAGUUGUGCUUUUUAUUGAAUCCAACAGCCUAAAAGAGAGAUCAUACCCCGGUGGGCAAGGGGACUAUGAUGCCGGGCUUCACGGCGGCAGCAGCAGUGGAGGCGGCGGGGCGGGCGCGCCACUCGUAACGCGUGACGCCGAGGCCGCGCUCGCGGGCGCGCUCGCGGCGGAGCUUCUCCUCGGGGGAGAGGUUGGCCUCGUCGAGGCCACCGCCGUCGGGCGGGCCGAAGACGAGGUCGUGGCGGCGCGCGGCGACGUCGAAGGCGUAGACCUUGCGGUAGAGGGUGGAGUCGGGGCUGAAGAGGUAGGCGACGGCGCGGUCGUCGGGGGAGAAGCUGAUCGACGAAGGGGCCACGUACCCCGGGAGCGGGUACUGCACUAUCUCCUCCACCGGGAGGAGGAACGACUCGUCGUUCGCGUCGGCGGCGGGCAUGGCGGCGGCGGCGACGGAGACGGCGGAGGAGGAGGUGAGCCGCCUCUUCUUGGUCCUUUCGAGGCGGCGGCGGGCGGCGGCGGCGGCGCGUCUAGCGUCCUCGCGCGGGGCCUGCGCGCCGCGUGCAAAGUAGAAGGGGGAGGACUUCCCGUCGCUUGUGCAGGCGCCGUAAACCUACCCUAAACCCUAACCCUGAAUGGUGCGGGAGGGAAGGAAGGGAUCGGUAUCGGAUUCGCCCGGCGCGGUAUGAAGGCGCCCUCCUUGAGCGCCAAUUUUUUCAAGCUGUUUCUCUUCCUUCCUCUUUUAGUUCCGCGCAACAGACUUUAUUGUGGUUAUGUAAAACCAAAGUUUCUGUGGAUAGGACCCUGGCAUCCAGGUCAUUGCUAAAUUUCAUCAUAUCAUUCCCAUAUAGUAAUAGUAUAUAUAUAUUAUUUAUUAUAUAGUAGUAAUGAAGUAAGUAUAUAAUAUAUAUAAUAUAAUAUACUGAUAGUCAAAUUAAUUACCCUAUGAUAAAUAUAUAAAGUAUUGCGCUUCUCCGGAUGCUUUUCAGCCCUCGUUUUCCCGAUGUUGGACUUUCCGAAUCGGUCGCGACGGAGCGCCUGGUAGAGGUUUGUGCCGACAGGGCGGCUUUCCGCUUUAAACUUGAUCUACCAGAAAGUAUUUGAAGUAGCUAGAAAAUAAAUAAUUUAUGAUUUCUUACCCGAUAUAUGCCUAUGAACGAACGGGGGCUCAAAUCAAACCGGCUGUGAAAAAUAAAAUCUCUACAGAAAUGUAAUAAUAGAUUUAAAAUUCUAAAAAUCAACAGACUAUCUGUCUUGUUAUAUAGAUAAGGAAUUAUUCUAUCAAAAUUCAUGUGAUUGGAAAUUUGGCAUAAACCGUUAAUAACUGCAAACGGCUGCACGUACGGUCAUGAAUUUGGUUGAUUUUUUGAGCCCCGUUCUUCACUAGGGGCCAAAUGAUCAUCAGAACCAAGUAAUCAAAAUGUAUUUUCCUGAGGUACUCUACGCCCCCCAAAUACUCUAGAUCAACGUUUAACGAAGCCGAAUCGACGCAUUCGAAAAGUCGCAACAUCGGCACAGAACGAAGCUAACGAAGACUCCGUACCUUCCGAAUAGAUAAGUAAAGCUCACUACACCCCCCUAUACACUCACCUCCUCACCUCAUAGUUGACUGAGCUACUAUUACUACAAAACUGUCAUUAAUUGCAUCAAUGUUGUUUAGUCCUUUUGGGAUCAACACUUUUUUAAUCAUUCUAAUCAUUGAUUAAAUACUAUAACCAGUGGGACACUAAUCCUAGGCCGAUUCCAGUCAACCAAUGACUAAUAUACAUCCCUAACCUAUACAAUUUUAUCAAGUGUUAAAACUUGCAUACGCAAAAAAGAGCGUUCUUGAUUAUAUAGUAUUCCAGCCUAAUUUUAUAUAUAAUAUAUACUAUAAUAUGGAGAGAGGAUGAGGAGAGAGUUGACUGGGCUGACUAUUAGUAGUGAAUGUCUAUUAAAUGCUUACCCCCACACUUUUACCUUUUAGAGAUCAUACUGCUUCAUUCAUUAUUCUAACAUUUGGAUUAACUAUAUAAACCGUGGGACUACUCACCCUCAGCGGGGACCACUCAACUCUAACCGACUAAUAUCAUCCUGACCCUACAAUUUUUCAUCCAAGGGUUAAAAACUUGGUAGCAAAAAGAGCGUUUUACUAUUAGUAGUAUUCCAGCCUAAUUCAUAUAUAUAUAUAUAUAUAUAUAUAUAGUAAUUAUUAUAACACAGUCAAUAUUAUUUCCAUCCAUACAUUAAUAUUUUAGUUAACUAAACUAACUAAUAAAAUUUAAUUAUAAUAAUUUAAAAUUUCAAGAGAAAUUAUAAUAAAUUAGAGUGUUAUCAGUUAUGCACCCAACAGUUUUGAAAGUCAAAAAUAUAAUUUAACCUUAAAUUAAUUAUGUUAUCAUAUUUUUCAAACCUACCUAUUUAAUUCUAUUAAAUUUAACAAUGGUACACACUGCAAUUAAUUGUUAAUUACUAAUUAUUAAGAACUUGUUUGGCAUUAUUGCUGUUAUUCUUUUAAAUAUUGAGUGUGUAUACUUUGAUAUAUGGGUGAAAAAAUAUUAUUUUGUUGUCAUAGUUGGUGGUAGUUAUUUAGUUUACGAUGCAUUCUGACCAAAUAAUAAAUAACAACUUUUUUACUAAAAAUUUAAAUUGCAGAAAAGUCUUAUUUACCUAUCUUAAUUUUGUUUCAUCAAAGAAAUAUUCUGAAUAUAAGAAUGUAAGAAUUAUAAAUAAUCUAUUUUUUUCUCCUACAUGAAACAUUUUAUUCAGACUAGACCUAUUUUUAUUUAAUUAAAUUAAUUUAAAAACUUUGACCUCUUUUAAAAAUGCUGCAUCCGUAGAGUUUCCAUAGUUAUGUAAGUAGUGCUUCUAUGGUUGUUAUUUUUCGAUAUUAUUCAUUCACUCCCAUUCAACGUCUGAGAUUUAAUUUUUUUAAAAUUGUGACUGUGAGAUCCCUGGUGUCUGGCUGUGGGGGCUUGUCGACAGCUCUGGAGAGUGUCGGGACAAGCCCGAGUCGCGUUGGCGUCAAAUAGACGCAAAACGGACUCCGUCGGACGCGAAAGCAGCCUUCAGCGAAGAAAUCUGCGAAAUAGCAGAUUUUCCUGCUGGCUGUACCGGUACAGCCAGCGAGGUGUACCGGUACGCUAUACUGGCUGAGCGCGUACUGCUCUCGGGUUAGCUUCCUGUACCGGUACGCGAUCCCGUGUACCGGUACACCAGAGUAGGUGAGGGGCUUUUUAGUAUUUUUACCUUGCCUCGUUUGUAUCUCCUUCACUCCCCUCUAUAUAGUUCCGUGUAAGGAGAGAGAGAGAGGCCUUUUUNGGUAACAAACUAAAAUUUUAAAAAUCAACUAAAAAUUAAAAAAAUUUAAAGAAAAGAGUCAAAAUCAAUUUAAGAAAUCAAAUUAAUUAGACUUAUCAAAUUAAUAAAAUAUACAAAUAGUCUAGUUUUGUUCAAUAUAAAUUUAUUUAAUUUAUCUACAUUUCUAAUUUUGUUUACUCUAAUAAAACUCAAUCGUGGAGAUUUAUUAUAAGCUUAAAAUUUAAAUUAUACGGUCUAAAUUUAUUCAUUGAUAAAUUUAAAUUGUAUUGUACUAUUUAUAUUUAUUGGAAGUUUUCGUACACUUUUUAGGUUCUAAACUUCAAAUUUAUUUUAUUUUUAUCUUAUAUUUUAAAUUAUAAUAUAUGAUCUCAUUAUUCUAAAAGAUCAAUUUUUUACUAUUAAAAUUUAAAUUAAUUUUGCCCAUACAAUUCUAUUAUAAAAAUAAAUUUGAAUUAUACCCUAUAUUUCUAAUCAAUUAUCCACAUUAAAAUUUUGUAAAUAGUGAUAAAAUAUUAAUAUCUAAAUUAAAAAAUUCCAAAAUUUUUUUAAACAUAUUAAAUAUGUUGAAUUUAAAUAUUUAUUCAUAUUUAAUUUUUUAAAUUAGUAAUACAAAAUUAAUUAAGAGGAAUUGAAAAUUUUGCUAAACAUAUUAAAUAUGUGGGCUUUUUUUGCUUUUAGGCCCCUCAAAAAAUUUUCACAAAUAGUUUCACAAAAUUUAUAUUUGCAAAAUUUACUCUAUCCCUGCCAUGCAGGCACCUUGUGAGUUAGGGUUUAAGUUGAACGCAGUAAACCAUCAACUAUAUUCAACUUAACUUAUAUAACGUCUAAUACAAUAAACACGAAGAAUGUGACAAGGAAGUAAAAUAUGGAUAGGAUAGGUUCAACUUAACCCGCCACGCUACCAUGGCACUCGCAUGGCACUUGCAUGACGGGAUAGGGCCAAUCUUAUAAAUAAUUUCUCAUAAUAUCACAUGAUGGCGCUUGGUUCAUGUGGUAUAUUUAUAGAAAUUGCGUAUGUAAUAAUUUCUCAUAGCCUCGUCAACUCCAAAUUCAUAUAUAUAUAUAGAGAGAGAGAGAGAGAGCAGGGCUGCUGUGCUCCCAGAAGCACGGAGGCCUCCGUGCUCCUGAGUCGUUUUCGAUGAUGAAAUUUUCGAAUCGACGAUCUGCUCCAUUAGACCUGAUCUAGCGUAUUUGAAAUUUCUAGAAAAUAAUUUUUGCGAUUUUUUUAUAUCAUUUACCUAGUGAUUGAAAUGAUUCAAAAUCAAUAAUUUUUAAUGGUUUAUAUAUGCCGUUUUCAAGUUUAAUGGUGUAGAAGUAUUCAAAUCAGAUGAAAAUCUGAUACAAAAUUCUUUGUACUGUCUACAACAAGAUCAAUAUUUUUGAUCGAAAAUUUUAGUGCUAUAUCACCACUUUUUAUAGGAUUUUUAUUUUCGGCUGUUAAAAAUUAUUGAUUUUAAAUCCUUUCGAUUGCUAGGUAAAUGAUAUCGAAAAAUCGCAAAAAUUAUUUUCUAGAAACUUCAAAUACGNAUAAAAUGAUUUAUAUUUAUCUUUCUAUAUAUUGUAUGUGCUAUUUAAUUUGAUCCUUUUGAUGUAUUUUGGAUUACAGUUAAUUUAUUUACUUUUACAUUUCACCUUUUUUUUUCUUUAAGAAAAUAAAAAUUGUACAGUAUUUCUUUUAAUAUUUUAAAAUUAAAAUAAUUAUAUUUUUUUCUCAAAAUAAUAUAUAAAAGUUAUUUAUAAUAACAUGUACAUCAAUAUACGUAUUUUGUUAAAAAAAUAUAUAUAAACUGUCCUCCAAGCAAGGAAGAUAGAGACAAGAUUUAUAUUUUUUGAUUAAAUUUAUCUUUUUUUUUUUCACUUUUAUUUUUGUUUAAUUUUUUUACUUAUUACUUACAUUUUUUUUAUUUUGGCUAGGGAGUUGUGUACUUGUGUGGUAGCGUAAUCCUUUCCCAAAUGGCCCCCAUUGAAACUCGGGGCUCCAACAAAGUUUUUGUCCUGUACACUGUGACUCUCUAAGUAAAAUUAUGAAAAAGAUUUUGGCAAAAGAAAUAUUUUAUUUUUUCGAAUAUUUAGUUUAUAGGAAAAGAAAGAUAAUUUUUAGUCAUACUUAUUUGGUUUUAAAAAAAAGAUGAAUGAAAAAAAUUAUUAUAUACAUAUUUCUAUUAUAUAUAUAUAUAUUAUAUUAUUUAUAUAUAAUAAUUAUUCGAGUGGGCUGGUAUGCUUCUGGAAGCACGGAGCCCUCCGUGCUUCCAAGUUGUUUUCAUAUAUUUGUAGAUUUUAUUUUCAAGCCGUUAUUUGACCAUUCGAUCACUAGUAAAUUGAUAUCAAAAUCGCAAAAUUUAUUUUCUUAGAUACAGCAAAUACUCAGAUCAGUAACAAGCCGAUCGUCGAUUCGAGAUUCCGAGACAUCGAAAACAAUUUGAAAGCACGAGCGCUCCUGCUUCAGAAAGCAUAACCAGACCCACCUAAUAUACUUAGCAGUAGUAAAUUCAUUAUACAACUUGUAUUUUAGAGAUAUGAACACAUUGAUAAUUAUAUUUGUUAAAUUAAUGCGCAUAGUACUAAUUACAAUAGUAAAUAUAGUAUAUAUAUAUAUAUAUAUAAUAUAUAUAAUAAUAUAAUAAUAAUAUAAUAUAGCAAGGUGAGCUACAUGCUAUCGGAAGCACGGAGCCUUCCGUCUUCCAGCUCGUUUCCGAUGUUGGCGACUCUCGAAUCGCCGAUCGCCUCCGUUAAACUUGAUUCAGAGUAUUGAAAUUACCUUAGAAAUAAAUUUAUUAUUUUUCGAAGAACAAUUGCCCUACGUGAUCGAAUGCUCAAAAUCAACAAAUUCAAUGGCCGUAGUGACCGUUUCCAAGUUCAAACGUGUAGAAAUAUCAAAAUCCAACGUGAAAUUUGAUAGAAAUUCUUAAGCUAUAUAAAACAAUAUCAAUAUCUUUGAUUCUAAAAUUUUAAUGUCCAUAUAAGUUUGUAAGAUUUUUAUUUUCAGCGUUGAUUUGACGUGCCCCUUCUUCACUAGCAAAUGAUAUCGUAAAAUUCAUAAAAUUAUUUUCUGGGUACUUCAAAUACUAUACUAGAUCAAGUUAUACGCGAGCCGAUCGACUGUAUUCUGAAAGUACGCAACAUCGAAUAACCGAGCUGAAGCACGGAAGGCCCUGCUUCCUGAUAGCAAGUACCUCCUUAUAUAUAGUGAGGUCUACUAUAUAUAUUGACGAUUAAAAUCCUACAACUGUAAAAGAAUGACAUUAAAAAUUUUAAAUCUAAAAGAUAUUGAUAUGUUUAUAUAUAUAAAAAUUUCUUAUCAAAAUUUUACGUGAAUUUGAUAGUUCUACAAGCGUUAAACUGCAAACAGCUCACUAACACAUAUGAAAUUUAUUGAUUUUGAGCCCGCCUUCUUAGUACAAAUAUAUCGUAAAAUCAAUAAAAUUAUUUUCUGGACUAUCAAAAUACGCUAGAUCAAGUUUAACGUAGCCGAUCGAUCUUGAAAGUCGCAACAAGUCGAAAACGAGCUGAAGCACGAAGGCUCCGUGCUUCCGAUAGGCAGUAGUAGCCUCAACUAUAUACCCGAUCGAUCGAUUUGAAAGCGUGCAACAUCGAAAACGAGCUGACAGCACGAAGCUCCGUCUAUCGAUAGCAUAGAGCCUCAACUCUAUAUAGAUGAGCUACUAUUCAUCGAAGGUCAGCGGAAGCCUCCGUGCUUACCAGCUCGUUUUCGAUUGUGACUUAUCGAAUCGUCGAUCGUCUUCCGUUAAAACUGAUCUAGAUAUUUGAAAUAGAGUGAGCUACUAUCAUCGAAGCACGGAGCCUUCUGUGCUUUCCAGGCUCGUUUUCGAAAAUUUUUGCGACUUUCGAAUCGUCGAUCGCUCCGUUAAACCUGACUAAGUAUUGAAUAUCCUAGAAAAUAAUUUUAUAUUUUUCGAUAUCAUUUGGCCUAGUACGAAUGCGCUCAAAAUCACAGAAAUUUCACAUGGCUCGUAGUGAGCGUUUGCAAAGUUUAAGCGUGAAAAUAUCAAAAACGUGAAAAUUUUGAAGAAAUUCUUAUACUAUAUAAAACAAUAUCAUACUUUGAUUAAACCCUUUUAAUGUCAUAUUAUACAGUUUGAAGAUUUAUUUUUCAGUCCGUUGAUUUGCGCCCCUUCGUUCGCAUAGGCAAAUGAAAUCGUAAAAUCAUAAAAUUUAUUUUCUUGUAUUCCAAAUAUCUCUAAUCAAGUUACGGAGCUCGAUCGAGUUGAUUGAAAUUCGCAAACAUCGAAAACGAUAUGAUUUAUGAUUAUACGUAUCUUUGGGCCUAAGUGAACGAAGGCUCAAAUCAAACGCGAAAAUAAAAUCUACAAACCGAAUAAUUAUUACAUUAAAAUAAAUAUCAAAGAUAUUGAUAACAUUGUUUUUUAAUAUAAAAAUUUUACUAUCAAAAUUUCAGUGAUUUGAUAUUUCUACAAUCCGUAAAUCCUGCAAACGCUCACUACCGGCCAUGAAAUUUUGUGAUCUUUGAGCCAUUCGAUCACUAGAGCAAAUGAUACGAAAAAUAAUAAAAUUAUUUUCUAGGUAUUCAAUACUCUAGAUAAAGUUUAAGCCGAGCCGAUCGAAUCGAUUUGAAAGUCCGUCAACAUCGAACAAUGAGCGGAAUGACACAGAAACUCCGUGCUUCGAAGCAUAGUAGCCUCACUAUAUAUAUAUAUAUAUACUAUAAUAUAUAUAUAUAUAAAUUAUAUAAUAAUAUUAUAAUAAUAUUCGUCUACUAUAACUCUUUUAUGAUAUAGAGACUCUGUGCUCAUAAGUUUUUUGCGGUUUAGAUCUACCCUUAAUCAUUUCACACCUUUAGAAUAAAUUCAACCAACUACCGCACUCAAACUAGGGGUCCACGUGUCAGUACUAAACCGUAACUAUUCUCAUCCUUAACCUCACAUUUUUCAUCUACUGAACAGGCUAAAAACUUAUUAAUCAAAGCGCUCUAUACUCAAUUAUGAGUAAGCUAGCCCCAGCAAUAUAAUAAUAUAUAUAAUAUAUAAUAUAUAUAUUAUAUUAUAAUACAAUAUAUAGAAUAGGGCUGGAAUACUAUUAAUAGAAACGCUCUUUUUGCUAUCAAGUUUUAACUCUGAAUGAAAAAUGUAGGUCAGGAUGAUAUUAGUCGGUUAAGUUGAGUGGUCCCUCUUAGGUUGAUGGCUCCAUCUGGUAUAUAGUAUUAAUCCAAUGGUUAAAAUAAUAAAAAGUUGAUCAAAGCUAAAAAACUGGUAGUCAACAAUGGAAAUUUUGCUACGAUAGUAAGCGCAGUCUCGACUCUCUCUCUCUCUCCUCUCUCUCAUAACAAUACUAUAUACUAUAUAUAUAGAUAUAUAUAUAAUAUAGUAUAUAUUAUAUAUAUAUAUAAUAAAUAUAUACUAUAUAAUAAUAUAUAUAUUGGGGUAAAUACUAUCGAUAGCAAACGGGCUCCGUUGCCACGCCAUUCUUGUUUUAUGAUCGAGCUCCAAAUCGAGCGAUCGCACCGCUGAACAUUGAUCUAAAUACCACUUGAGUAUUUUAAAAAUCAAAUUCAUAAUCAUUUCGAUACUUAUUCUCCUUAUCCAUGCGAGUGACACAAAAAUAAAUCGCUGAAAAUGAAUAUUCUUUAAAAAAAAGAUUUUUGAUGACAGGAUACUUGUAGCAAGAUCAAGAUUAUAGAUCUUAUUUAAAUAGUUUUAAAAAAUUUUUAACAAAAUUCAUGAUUUGAUAUCUUAUGCGCGGUAAACCGAGAAAACGCCUUAUAUUCAUCAUCUAAAAUUACAGAAUUUUUAAACCCUUGAUCAUUUCGCAAAUCAAUGUUCGAAAAAUUAUGAAUGAUUUCUGAAACACUUCAGAAGUGUAUAAAUCAUGUCAAUCGGUGCAGAUCGUCGAUUUGGAGGCUCCUAUCAAUAAAGACAAAUGGGAUGAGAACUAGCCCGUUUGCUAUCGAUAGUAUUAACUUAAAUUUUAUAUAUAUAAUAUAUAGUAUAUAUAUAUAUAUAAUAAAUACUAUAUAUAUAAUAUAUAUAUAUUAUAUAGUAUAUAUAAUUAUAUAUAAGCCCUAUAUAAUCCGGUAAAAUCCCCUUUGUUCACUAGGCAAAUAAUAUCGAAAAAUCGCAUAAUUUAUUUUCUAGAUACUUCAAAUACUCUAGAUCAAAUUUAACGGAGCUAAUCGACAAUUCGAAAGUCGCAAUAUGGAAAACAAGCUGGAAGCACGGAAGGCUCCGUGCUAGAAACAUAGUAGCCUCUCUCUCUCUCUCUCUCUCUCUCUCUCUCUCUCUCUCUCUCUAUAUAUAUAUAUAUAUAUAUAUAUAUAUAUAUAACUCUCUAUAUAUAUCCGGUAAAUCACUCACACGGUCACUGUAAUAGGCUGAAAUUUGAUUGUGAGCUAAUUGUGAUCAAGUUGAUCACAAUAUUGCUAAAAUAGGAAUUAAGUGUUUCUAAACUUAAUUAGUAGCUUGAAAACAUUAAUUGACACGUUUUGGAAGUGUGUGAGUAGGCUCGAAUGGAAUUGAAGUGGUAAAGAACUCCAAUUGCCAUUGUUACUUGAGUGCUGAAAUUCUAGUUAAUUUGAUCCAAAAUGAUCAAAUUGAUGCAAAUCUGGGAAUUAAAUGUUACCAAAUUAAUUUGGUAGCUUGGGAAACUUCUUUGGAUGAUACUAGAUGUGCUCAAAUGAAAUUGGAAUGAGUUGAUUAAGAGGAAAAGAGAGUUGAAGCAGCUGUUGAUGCUGCUGCUGCUGCUGCCCUGUACCGGUACACAUUCUUGUACCGGUACAGCAAUUGCGGGCUGGAAUUGUCCAGCAAUGUAAUUUCAGUAUAUUGAAGGGCUAAGGUGCAAUUUGUAUCCUUAUCUCUUCACCCUAGUGGAAAUACACCUGUCCAAGUGCUGAGGCAUCAUAUCUCUUCCUUUCUUAUCACCUUUCCACUUCUCUCUCUUUUCUCUAAGUUAGAAAAGGGCUUGAGGGAGUUGUUGUUGGCAGCUUGGAGGUCUGCUGGCUGAAGUGCAACCUGGUCCAAGGCAGAGAGUUCCUUCUGAUUGGAGUUACUACAAGACCUGGAAAGUAUCUAAUCAAGGUAAACUUGAUUAUUAUUUCCUCCUAGUCAGGUUGGUUUCUUGUAAAAGAUAAUUAUAUGGACUUUGGUGUUGACAGCUUGAAGAACCAGUUUAUGGUGCUGCCGAAAUGCAAAGUGGAUUAAUUGAUGCUGCAAGCAAGCUUAUUUAGCAUCAAAUUACAGUAAGUCCAUUUCAGAUUGGAUUAAAGUCAAGUUGGUUACUUUAAAAUGGAUCAACUAAGAGCUUCGCUGCUGGAAUUUCAGCUUUGGAGCUGAAAUAAGAAGCAUUGGAGCUGGAGGAAUAUGGAGCUGAGUACAACUUAGGGACUUUCGAAUCCAGGUAGGAAUGAGGUUUAAUUCUUGAUUGAGAGUGUUUUAAUGGCUGUAUGUAGAAGUUGAAAAUUACUUCUAUGCUGAAUUGUAGAAGAUUAAAGAAAAAGGCCAAGAGUAACUGUUGAUGGACCUAGGAUUGACUUGGUGGAAUACCUAGGUUAAGGUGAGUUGAUUAGUAAUUGCUUCUAUAUAAGUUCAUUACUUUAAAUUGAUGCUUAUAUGCAUUCAUGCGGCUGGAAUGGCAGAGCUGAAGCUAUUACAAGAAGAGGAGUUGGCGAAAUCAGUGAAUGAAGUGAUUCCUUGCUGGCUCGAGCUGAGAGGAACUACCUAGUAAGGAGUUCCUGCUAUUGCUGCUGCUGCAGUAAUGAUUUGGACAAAUUGAAGCGGAGGACAGUUUGGUGAUAUAUCUAAUUAAGAUAAAUUGAAUCCUGCAGUCAAUUAUAGCCGAUUAGUAGCUUUAGAGAGGGAUUAUGAAAGAAGCUUAUAUUGCUGAAGUUUCAGAGUGGUGAGCUGAAAUCAAGUUGGUGCUGAAGUCAACUUGAUAAAAAUCCUGGAUGCUUGGCCGAAUUGAUGACCAGCAGGAAUUUCAGUGAGAAAAUGGAGCUUGAGCUGACCAAAGUUUAGGUAAAUUAAUUCCUGCUGUUUAGUAACUAAUUACAAUCUAAUUAGUUGCUUUAGAAUGGGUCGGAUUGAGUCUUAUUGCUGAAAAAUUUCAGAUUUGGGGCUAUUGAGCAGGGAACCAGCUAAGAGAAAGAACUCUUGAGCAUUGGUACAGCUAGUGAGGUAAAUUGAUGUUUAUUCCUGAAUCAAGUAGUGUGUUAGCUACAUUGAGACUGAUUUUAAGUAGCUAAAGUUGAGGUUAGCAUUUGAAUUAAUGCUGAAAACUGUGAAGUUUAAAUGCUGAAAUCAAUGCGGAAUUGACACUUUAUAUAGCAUUGAAAUGCUAACUUGUAAAAUAUGAGAAUAAGGCUCUAGUUUAAUAUCUUCUAAUCUUUUAUAACUGAUAAUUAAACAUGUCCGAUAGUCUAAAUUGACUUUUCGACAGGUCGGCGACGCGUUAAUCAGGAUAGUAGCCAUUUUGGGCUCUAUUUGCAUCGAGUUGCGAGAGCUAGUUGUCGACGCGUUCCGAGACGUGGAUUCUAAUUGUUGACACCACUACAGGUGGGUGGUGCUAUCCGAAGUCUUUGAAUCACCUUUUAUGUCUAUGAUUAUUCAUUGAGUAUAUUUAUAUUUGUAGUCAUACAUUAUAAGGUGUUUGGCAUUGAGCAAGUGAAAAUGUGAAUUCCUAUCAACAAUGAGAACUUGUGAACCUUAGAAUGUGGACAUAGAACCCUAUGAAUGCAUGGACUAUAACAAUAGUGAACUUGGUAACAUUCUAAUUAGAGAUUUGGAUAGCAUUGAGAAAUAAAACAGUGAAACUAGCAAAAGAGCUAGUUAGAGUUAAAGUGUGACAUUGGCUAUUAUUGAAUCCUCUAAAGGAGGAUCAGAUCUUACUCACAUAGUCUAUUUUUAGCUUGGUGGUGGUCGCUCCCCCCCAGGCAGUGCGCUCCGGAGUGGUCACUUGAGGGGCUAAAGUAUUUGCCCUUGGAUUAAAGUAUCUGUCCAACAGACGGUCCCGUCGGGAGGCAGCUUAGGGCCCGCCAGGGAUUGAGUUGGUGAGUUACAGUUAACCAAAUGGUUAGCUAGAUUGAUUGAGUAUUGGUACAUUACAGCAUGCAUGCAUACUUACAGUUUUCAUAUAUCAUUUCUUUCAGCUUUGUACAGGCAUUGUAGUAGUUACAUGUACAGUUGGUUACUAUCUGCUUCACUUUUCUGUCUACAUAUGCCUGAAUAGACCUAUUGGGUGAGUCGGCGAGGUCGGCGGCCGAACCCACUGGGGAUUUUUAGUAGUUCUCACACCAUUAACCAUACAGGUACCAGUGCGAGUGUUGUGGCCGGGGAUCGUGGCAAGAGCCCCGCAGCUUAGUUAGCUGACACCAGAGUAUAGUAGUUACCAUUUUGAGUUCAUGCGAGACAUUUUGAUGUACAGAGACAUGUAAAUGAAUGUAGUAUAAAGCAUGUAAAUAACUAAAUAUUUUCGUUAUACAGUUCAGUUUGAAAGUUUUAAAUUACAGUGAAUUUUCUGUUUAGUCAGCUUACUAUCACUUGUGAUUGUUGCUUGUCCUCGUGCAAGCCAUGUAUAUUGAAACGUUAUCCUGGAAAUUGUUUAUUUCUUUAUACAUGUACUCGCUGUUGUUGAGCCUUGGGCGGACAGUGGAGGUUCUGUCCGUUCGGCGUCUGUGCACGGGCCCGGGUCGACCAAAUUGGCGAUAACGGGACGUGACAGAUAAAGUGGUAUCAGAGCAAGUGAUAGUAAAAGUCUAGGAUGACCUAGGGGACUUAGGAGUGGAAACCUAGGAACCAGGAACGUGAGUGGCGUGACUUUAAUGAUAGCGAAAGCUAGACAGAUUGGGUUAGUUGUUAGUAAGUCUCUAAUGUUAAUUAGGGGCUGAUCCAAGUGUUAUUUAUAUACAAUUAAAAGAGUUAUGUUGGUGGCCAACAACAUAAAGCUAAAGGUUGAGUAUAAAUAUGCUUGAUUGCUUUCGCCUGAUUGGUUUUGUUUUACUAAUGUGAAUGGUUCGUUUCAGGAGAAAUGCCACCGCGACGUGCGACGAGAUCCACUUUGGCAUCACUUUCUGAGGUGCCAGAGCAGUCCGGGUUUGAUGAAGUUCAGGAGUUGCGUGCUCAGGUGAGCGCGUUAGUUGGGGCUAUGCAGAGACAGGAUGAGCAUAUAAAGAGUCUACAGGAUCUAGUGUCGCGACAGGCGACAACAGCAGCACCUGGGAGUCAGGAUGUACCUGUACCUGAGGCGCCGACGACCGUGCCUCCUGUUCCGCCGACUGUUCCUCCUAUGGCUUCUGGGCCUUUUGUUGUAGAUUCAGCCGUGGUAGAGGCUGAGCAAGUGCGAUUUGUAAAGGUGCUAGAGGCAUUUAUGCGAUUUAAUCCGCCUAUGUUUGAUGAAAAAGAAGCAGAUCCGUGGGUAUUGGAGACGUGGUUUACAGCGAUGGAGGCGUUAUUUGAGGACAUUUACACCCUGGAAAGGGACAAGGUUCCGUUGGCAGCGCAUUGUUUUGAGAAGGAUGCUUAGAUCUGGUGGCAAAAGGCCAAGAAGAAGUGCGCAUCAAACCUACCAUCGCUCACUUGGGAGGAGUUUCGCGAAAUGUUAUUUAUGGAGUACUUUCCCGAUAGUGAUAAAAGAAAAAUGAAGGAAGACUUCCGCAAGUUGAGACAGGGAAACUGUUCGGUACGGGAGUACGAACGGGAAUUUACUCAUUUGGUGAACUGUGUGCCUGGUAUGGUUCAUACGGAUCGAGAUCGGGCGGAGUACUUUGAGCGGGAGUUGCGACCUGACAUAUUCAGGACAGUCAAUGCUCUGAAGUUAAAGACAUUUGAGGAGGUCCUGGAUCGAGCUCUUUGGGUUGAGCGUGGAAAUGCGAUUGCGCGUGAUGAACGCGAAUCGUUUGAAAAAGAACGAGAAAGAGAAAAAGGAAAGAAGAGGACUACUAGUGGUGCCGGGGGACAGUCGAGCUCUAAACGACCCCCUCGGUAUCCACGUUCUCAGUCGAGAUAUCAGGGACCCCCGAGAUGUGUGAUUUGUGGUGGGAAUCACCGACCGUCGGCUUGUUCACAGCGUGAGGGCAAGUGUUACAAGUGUGGGCAGCCGGGACAUAUAAUUCGUGAUUGCCCGAGGGGAGCAUCAUCAGCACAGUCGACAGCUUCAGUUCAGUCACCUCAGAGGCAGCGUGUGGGUCUCCCACCUGCUAUGUCAGCUGGGCGUACUUUUGUGCCGCGCCAGUACGAGCCACCCCGACCUGCACCGAGUACACGGAUGGAUGCACCACGACCUGCACCGAGUGGUCGUGUAUUUGCAGCUCAGACUGAGGAUCCUGCCGUGGUCGACGAUGUCGUGGCAGGUAUUGUUUUACUUUAUGGUACUAGAUCUCGUGCAUUAUUUGACACUGGUGCAUCUCAUUCAUUCAUCAGUAGUUCAUUUGCUAAAACACAUGAUAUUGAGAUUUCGGAUAGGCCAGAUGCCUGGUGGGUCUAUGCUCCUGAGCACACGUUUAGUGUUCACGAGGAAUGUGCGGCAUGUCCCGUUCAGGUUGGAGAUUGGAUUAUGCCCGCUGAUUUGCUAGUGUUGAAGCAAAUGAAAGGUUUUGAUGUAAUCCUUGGGAUGGAUUGGCUUACAGAGUACUAUGCCACGAUUGAUUGCGAAAGUAAAAUUGUUACUUUUCGUGAACCUGGGCGGAAGGAAGUUGUAUAUCGAGCGUGCAAGAGUUUGCUCUUUGCACUGACUGUAUCGUCGACGAGGGCGAGAAAGUUGAUUAGUAGUGGAUGCACAGCCUAUUUGGCGACUGUAGUGGAGACUCAAAAGGAACUUCCAGCACUGAGUGAUAUUCCAGUUAGGGCUUGCAACAGUGAGGCGCGGCUCGCUUCGCUCGUGUUCGGCUCGAUAUUCGCUCUCGCUCGAGCUCGACUCGAAAUUAAAUGAGCGAGCUAUGAACACAAACUAAAAGGCUCGAAAGUCAUUUCAAAAGCGACUUGAGAUUACUGCGCUCGUCGAAUUAGCGACUCGAAAAGCUCGAAUAUAUAUAAUAAUAAUAAUUAUUAUAUAUAUAUAUAUAUAUAUAUAUAUAUAUAUAUAUAUGAGUCCGGCUACUAUACUUUUAUGAGUAUUGGCUCCCUUAUACUCAUAAGUUUUCGGCCUUUAGAUUUAUUUCAUUGAUUAUUUUCACCCGUUAGAUCAGACUAUUCAACCAAUUACCCACUCAACCCUAGGGGACCGCUAUCAUUUUAAGUGGGGACCACUAUCAUCCUAACCACACAUCCCAUCAAUCAACGGUUAAAAAUUUAUGAGUACAAGGGUGUCUAUACUUAUAAAAGUAUAGUAACCCUAGCUAUAUAUAUAUAUAGAGUUGGACUGGGCUACUAUUAGUAGCAAAAUCCUAUUGUUGCUACCAAUUUUUUAGCCUUUGGAUUAACUCUUUUCAUUAUUUCUAACCAUUGGAUUAAAUACUAUAACCCAGUAAGGACCACUCAACCCUAGGAGGACCACUCAACUCUAACCGACUAAUAUCAUUCUGACCUUAUAAUUUUUCAUCCAAGGGAGCUCCCGUACUAUAGUGUCGUUUUCGAUCUUCGGGCGUUCAAAUCAACGAUCCACAUCGUUAAAACUGAUAUAGGAUAUUUAAAGUUUUUAGAAAUAAAUUUUUAUAUUUUUUCGACAUAGUUUACUUUAUGAUCAAAACAUUUCAAAAUUGUCAAUUUUCAAUGACUAUUAUGACGAGUUGGGAGUUUAACGGUGUAGAAGAAUCUAAAUUUCUUCAAAUUUUGAUCGAAAAUACUUUAAACUAUAUAGAUUAAGGUUAAUAUUCUUGAUCUUGAAUUUAAAAGUCCUUGCUCAAAUUUUAAAGAAUAUUCAAUUCUCACCGUCCAUUUUGACAUAAUUUAUUUACUAAGUAAACGAUGUCGAAAAAAUAUAAAAAUUUAUUUCUAAAAACUUUAAAUACCCUAGAUCAGUUUUAACGGUGUGGAUCGUUGAUUUGAACGCCCGAAGAUCGAAAACUACACUAUAGUACGGGAGCUCCCAUACUAUAGAUAGUAUAGUAGCCUAAUUAUAUAUAUAUAUAUAUAUAUAUAUAUAUAUAUAUAGAGAGAGAGAGAGAGAGAGAGCACUAGGAAGAGGUGAAGGCUAAUAUAUUUAUGAGAGAAAUAAAAUCACAGCAAGCGUCAAUAUUUAAUUAGGGCCUAUAUUAUAACACACCAUAAAAAAAUAAAACACCCAACAAAACAAUCGCAUUUUCAGAUUUAAUGUCCUCGAACUUAAUUUUAGAGUAUACACGAAUUUAAAUUGAAUUUGACCUUGUUAUGGAGAGUGGCAGACGAUCAUAAUGACCUCAAAUAGAGAUGUGAUGAGCAACGAGUGGCACAUUGAUCAAUGAAAUAAUGUAUGCCUAUAUUAUCUCUGCAAAAACUCGAAAAUAUUUCCUUUAUUUUUUAUGAGUUCUUCAUUCCUUUCUAGUAUCUUUUUCACUGUUAUUGCACCACAAAAUCGCAAAUAUAUCGAACAGGACCAUCAAAUCCCAAAUUCCUAACUAUUUUUCCGCCCUCCUCUUGCCUCUCUCUCCCUCCAUUAUUUCAAAAUAAUUCUACGUGUUACCGACCGUCUAUUAAAGCUUGGAUUAAAUAUGACUUAAAAUAUAUACUACAGUCAUGAAAAAAUUCAUAAUAAUACGCACUUGCAUUGCUUGAAUUGUAUAGGGCAAUAAGAAUAUCGUAUAUGAUAAGAAAUAUAUUUGAAAGACAAAAAUAAACAAUAUUUUUGAUGCCUCUAACUCAAGGCAAAUAAAAAAGUCAAUUAUAAGAAGGGUAUAUUGAAAGGGCAAUAUAGUAAAUUUUACAGAUAACUACAUAACGAGCUUCACCAUUAACAUAGAUAUUGUAACUCUAGGUAUUUGUUAAAAUAUCGUUUGAACUAUCAUGAAGGCGUAUCUCUUUCAAUAUUAAUCUUUUAAAGGGGUUAAAUGCAGAAAUCAAAAACCUUUAAAGUUAUAUAGAGCUUCGUUGCGCCGCUCGAUCAUACUACACUGCCUCCUGAUACGCGAAAACUACUGAGUAAACAUACUGUUAGUAUAUUGAUAAGGAUAAGAGCGAGACGAGGGGCAAGAGGCGAGGGUACGCAUGAGCAAACUGUCCUAAUAUAUACUUUCAAAGAGUUAUCACUAUUUUAAACAACGGCUUGGGUCUACGUCAACGUACAUUCUCAUCACUUGGAAUUUAGCUGGUGAAGUUUUACUCUUAUACUCUCUUCUUUCGGAGAACCAAAUAACUCAUAACAGGUUCAAGGAGCAGUUCAUCACCAAAAGCUUACAUCAGAUUCGUACAAUUAUCUUAUUAUCUAAACUAAUGUGAUUACAUUUGUUUACACAAUUAGACCCAAUAGUUAUUGUAAUAGUGCUAACAAAAAUAAGACAUCAAUAUGAUAAAGAGUCUUAUUCAGAAUCGAUAGCAGGGUCCGCACUCGUGUUAGAGCUUCGUACUCUCGGGCAACGGUCUCAAAUAUAUUAGCAUUAAGGCCUCUUGCGCGUCAGAGAUUGGUCCUUUUCUGACUGCGAGGGACAAGAGACUUUUACGAUAUACAAUAUGCCACGUAGCAUUAGCCUAGAUACGUCUUUGAGAUACUUCAACCUUUAUAUUAAUAGCAAAUGCCACGAGAUGAGUCUACAACACUCGCUCGCACCUCGGUAGCUCUAUCCAACCCCUAAGGUCGCGAGGGUGGAUUCGGAUGAUUUCCCUAGAAUGGAUGUUGCCGGCGGAGGAUACCCUGAGAUUCGCCGCCCGGAUCGGAACAAAUUGAAGUUCGUUAUUCUGACUUAUGUUUCGGACGCGCCUAAAUUUCAAGACUCCGUACAGAAUCUAGCCACCUGCGAGUGAGACAGUGAAAGUAGUUGCAGAACUAUGAUGGAUAAACUUGAAGCUAUGUAUCACCUGGAGCUCCUGUUUGUUUGUAAAGAAGAAGACGAACCUUCGAACUGUGUUUGAUUACCGAAUAAUAUCAGCUCUGGCUUUCGAUACUCUGGUCGCUUCGACAAGUUGGAGUCGUUAUGCACAAAUUGGACCACAAAUCGACUCACGAUCGAAAGAUGUCGAGUUCGACACUCGAAUAUAAUGGCAUCAGAUGUUCAAUGUUGAGUAACGUCUCGUAGGGAAAUACUGUUACCCUUGUGGUUGCCAAGUCGGUAGGGUUAAAACGGCCGCGGACGUGGCCCCCGCAUCGCUGCGGCCGUGGCCGUGCCCCGCAACGGCCACUGAGCACACCGGCCGGCCGGCCCACAUAGGCCGCGCGCCUCAACAUUGGAGGCCCGACGCCCGGCCCGCACCCUGCGAAACGGCCGCCGUGCCGGCCGAGGGAGGCCCGGCCCCGGCACGCAACGGCCCUGGCCGUGCAGCGGGUCAAGGCAACGCCCGGAACCCAGGCCCAAGCAACUAUUGCUUUGGCCUGGGUUGCUCUCCUCGGGUGACGGUUGCCCUCCACCCGAGGAUAAGCUCCUCCCAAGUCUGCCCUACAACCCUGAGGCAUUAUUUUGUCCUAAAGACCAAGCAAUUGUCAUUGGCCAAAAACCCUUCUCAUAUUUUUUUCAAAAAAAGAAACAAAAUAAUAAAUAAAUGAAUAUUUUUUUUAUAAAUUUAUAAAUUUAAAUUUUAAAAAAAUACAGUUAUAUAAACAAUAAUUAUUUGUUUAUAUUUUUUAAAAUUAUAUUACAUUUUUUAAAAAAUAAAAAAGGGCCUGCCUCGAGACAACCGCCCGCCCGCAUCGCCCGUGCCUUCCGGCCCCAGGCCUUGCUGGGCCGGAUGGUAGGGAGUUCCGGCCCGGCACGGCCCGGCCCGGAUUUAGCCACGGGCCGGGCCGGGCCACUCUCCAGCCCGGUUUGGCCCGGAAAAUGUGGGCCGUGCCGGCCCGGCACGGCCCACAUUACACCCCUACCAGUGGGAUUGCAGAACUGGAUCUUCUUGGGUUUGUGCAUGUCUGAUGCUGAGUACCGGUACCUGUUGUCGAAUAUGAUAUCGAGCUCGGGUACCGGUACUGCAUCGGGCUGGUACCGGUACCCAGCGUGCGAGACUACGGAUUAAGGGCCGUGUAUCGGUAUUCAAGCUGAGUACCGGUACUCCAAGUGGAAAUGUGAGUUGGUGAGGGGUAGUUUGGUACUUUUGUGUUGACGAUUAUCCCAACCAACCCAGCCAAUAUAUAUAUGUUGGAAGCUUAGAGAAGCUCAGAUAGCUUCUCCUAUCCCUCUCUCUCUAGCUUCUCUCCCUCAUCUUGUUGGGCAAUUGAGGAACGAACUAAUUUUCUUCUUGUCGUCUUGGAGGUUCGCGAGUGUGCCGUGGUGGAGACCGGUUGAGGCCGUUGGAGGUCGAGCGAGCGCGCAGGUUUCCUCCUGUCGACUUCUUGCUGACGUUGGACGAGCGUUCGAGGUGGGUUAAUAUUUACCGAAAUCGUCGGAUUUCCUUCUAAGUCCUAAAAUUGUUAGCAUAUAUUAUUGGCUUUGUUCAUCCUGUUAGUAGCUCGAAUUCAUCGAUUUGCAUGUUCUUUAUAAAAUCUAAAUUUGGAGCAUAAGCUAGUGAUUUUAGAUAGAAUUAUACAUGAUGGACUGGGAUUUGACUUAGAAGAAUACUCGUUAAACCUACACUGUCAUUUUCUGAAAGUUACCAGAUUUAGCUUCAGGAGCUGUUGUUUUUUUGUAUCCCCGCUGUUAGUGCGUAUUGGAUACUCAGAUUAGUAUAGGGUGAGUUUACGCUCGUGCUGAGGGGCCGAGCUCAUUUUUCAGUAGAGUGUAGACUUUUUCGUACUGUCGGGUGCGGUCUGGUUGACGGUGGACCCAGAUUUCUGUAUCUUGCAUCAGAUUGUGCCAAGGGCACAUGAGUUUUGGUUGUUAGACCAGUUUGACCCAUUUGCAUCGACUACAGCUUGUGAGAGCCUGAUUGAACUUGGCAGAGACAUGUUUGUAUGCUCGGUUAGGUCGCGCCCACAAAUGCCACUUCGGAGUGAGUUUUUUCAUUGCAAUGAGGUCGCACCGUUCUGUUUGGACAGUCCUGGGACCGGCCAUCCCUGUGCGUGGUGUACGGUAUAGCUUGGUUACGGGUAGGGUGGGUCCGUUUGGGCAACCCUAGUGAGAUUGGGUCAGCGUGAUGCAUGUUUAUAUCUACAGAUAGUCUGUGUUGGUUAGCGAUAGUAUAGUGGUAUGUAGUUGUAGAGUUCUUUCCAGCUUUUCUUACUAUCCUUUGCACAUAUCAUUCUGUAAACUUAGUGUGUAGGCCGUUGAGGUCGGUGACGGUACCCACUGAGAACUACUCUGUUUUGCAGUAGUUCUCAUACCCAGUUGUUGACACCUUUUGCAGAGCCUUCGUCUGUGGCUGCUGCUGUUAUGAAUUCUGAUAGAGGCAAGGGAGUUGCGAGCUAGAGCCGUCCCUUCCCUAGUCGUUGCUAGAGGAGCACCCGUCAGAGGUAGUUUUUGGGUUUCUUUUUAUGUACUUGCUUGUGAUACUCGCUGGAGCGAGGUGUUAUGAGAGAUUUUUGUAUGUACAAUGAACUGUCACGCCGCGAAUUUUCAUAUUUUUUCAAGCACGUAAACAGAUCUACCGUAUACACAGGAAUUUUUCGUGUAUGCGAAGUGAUAGCUGUAACUUGCAAACAAAAAGGAGCUACAACCAAAGUCCAGACCUGCUAAACAAACACAUGUAUAUGUGCAAUCGGAGAGUAGUGCGGCGCCUACGGGGAAGAAGAAGCCGCCGCCUACGGGGGAGCCUAUAGCAGGAGGGGACGGAGGCAGAGUGCGGCGGCUCCGGAUCUAGUCGGCGAGCGCCAGGCAACUCCGAUAGAGCGAGACGGCCACGGCAGAAAGGAUGACGGCGAGCGUGAUGCAUCUCACUAUAAGGAUCGCGACGAGGAUCCCGCGGUCGCUGCCGGCGGACCCGGUGUAGAAGUUGACGUCGUCGAAGGUGAUGCCGGUGAAGCUCGGCUGCACACCCUCGGCCGCCCUGCGUCGCCACCACAAGCUGGCAGCCAUCUGUAAUAAUGGCCCGGACUCGUCGCAACUCGCCGAUGAUGAUAACUGGCUGAGGCGUGGAUGGUGGAGAGGAUGAUGGUGCUUUCCGGCAGCGACUCCGAUGUAAUCGAGAUAAGAAAAAAGGGUAAGAGAAAGAGAUAGUGAUAGAGAUAGAGAGUAGAGAGUAAGAGAAAGAGAUAGUGACAGAGAUAGAGAGUAGAGAGUAGAGAGUAGAGAGUAGAGAGUAGAGAAGAUUAAGAAGAGGGAAAUGGAGAGGUUGGGAAAUAGAGUUGAGAGGGAUGCGGAGUAGAGAACAAAGAGGAAAUGAGGGAUAAAGAGACUUGUAUAUAUUAAAUUAUAGGUUUAAUUUUUUUUUAGAUUAUGAAUUUAAAAUUUUAAAAAUAAUUUUUAUAGAAAUUAUAUAAUGUAAUAAGUAUAUGUGCAACCGGAGAGUAGUUGAUUUUAUUUGCAACCGGAGAGUAUUCAAUUACAUGUGGAUGUGAUAAAUCGUAUCUCAUAUUACACACUACUCACAUUCUAUAAAUAAGAUUAUGUGAAAUCUUCUAUACCACGUGGCUAGAAUAGCCGAUCAUUCUCAUAAAAUACAUAUUAUAUAUUUUUCAAUAUAAACAUAAUAUGUUAAGAAUAAAUAAUAUACAUCCAUAAUUUUUUCGUAUUAUUUUAUAUUAAUAUUAAUAUAUAUAAUUUAGAAUAAUAUAAUAUAAUUUAGUUUUAUAUUUAUUUAUAUUUAUAACUUAAAAUAAUAAAAUAUUAUUUAUUUAAUAUUACAGUGGUAUUUAUAAAAUGAUAUUUAUUAAAUUUAAUUAGUAUGCAUUAUAUACAUGCCAAUUGUAAAUAUCAUAAAAAUUGGUUACGGUAAUAUAUAUAUAUAUUACAUGAUAAAAGUAAUUCAAAAUGAUAGUAAAAUUAGCAAUUUUUUUAUUAAACAGAUAAAUGUUCAUAUUCUAAAUAUAUUUGUUUAAUUACAUUAUAAAAUAUAUUUUUUCAAUAUGUGAUAAAAAAAUAAUACAAAUUUAUAAACGUAUUUUUAGAUGUUGAUGACGAAAAUCUGCUGAUUUAUAAACGUAUUUUUAGAAAAUUUGCUGAAAGCGAUAGCUAAUAAGGCUGCAUAUGUUCGAUUAUAUUUUGAUAAUGAAUUAUAUUUGUUGUUCUGUACUAUUUUUUAGAUAUUAAAUAGCAUAAAAAUUUAGUCAUGUAGAAAAAAUAUUCUAAAUUGUCAAAUCUCAAGUAAACCUUAUGCAUUAUAAAAGAAAAGAUUUACAAGAUUUAAAAAAUAUAAUAAAAGAGAUACUAGCAAGAAAACUAUGUGGGUUUGUAAAUGUGAUGAAAUAAAAAUAUAAUAAGAGCAGCGUAAUUAAUUUUUUAAACUUUAUUUCGGCGAGGUAUAAUUAUUUUGGUGAGUAUAUAUAUGAAUGACACUGUUAAAUUACUGUUAAUGGUUGAUUUCACUUAUAUUGUAGUAACUUUAAUAAUUUGAUUGAUUAAAAUAUUAUAUUUUAUUAUUUAUCUAAUUUAGAAAUGUCGGAUCGAUAUAAUAAAUCGCGCUUUUCCUUGUGGGCUUGUGAAUGUGAUGAAACAAAAAUAUAAUAAGGGCAGUGUAAUUGAUUUUUUAAAAUUUAUUUCGGCGAAUUACAAUCAUUUUGGUGAGUAUAUGAAUGACACUGUUAAGUUACUAUUAAUGGUUGAUUUCACUUAUAUUAUAGUAAACUUUAAUAAUUUGAUUGAUUAAAAUAUUAUAUUUUAUUAUUUAUCUAAUUUAGAAAUAUUGGAUCGAUAUUAUAAAUCGUGCUUUUCUUUAUGAGCUUGUGAAUGUGAUGAAAUAAAAAUAUAAUAAGGACAGCGUAAUUGAUUUUUUAAAAUUUAUUUCGGCGACCUAGAAUUAUUUUGGUGAGCAUAUAAAUGACACUGUUAAGUUACUAUUAAUGGUUGAUUUCACUUAUAUUGUAAUAAACUUUAAUAAUUUGAUUUAUUAAAAUAUUAUAUUUUAUUAUUUAUUUAAUUUAGAAAUGUUGGAUCGAUGUGAUAAAUCGCGCUUUUGCUCGUGGGUUUGUCUAAUUUAGAAAUAUUGGAUCGAUGUGAUAAAUCGCGUCGUAUUAUACACACAACUUAUUUUGUACCGCAUGACUAGAAUAUUCAAUCAUAACCGUAAAAGUAUGUUAUCUAUUUUUAAAUAUACGAUUAAUAUGUUUAGAAUAAAUAAUAUAUAUAUAUAUAUAUAUAUAUAUAUAUAUAUAUAUAUAUAUAUAUAUAUAUAUAUAUAUAUAUAUAUAUAUAUAUAUAUAUAUAUAUCUAUAGAGUUGAGCUAGAAUACUCUCGAUAGUAAACGGGGCGUUUUACUAUCGAGUUGUUUUCGAUGAUAGAGCUUCCAAAUUGACGAUCGGCUCCGUUAAAUAUGAUCUAAACCAUUUAAACUACCUAGAAAUCAAAUUUCACGCACUUUCGAUAUUGUUCUUUUAUCCAUCUAGUGAACAAAAAAUGAAUGGCUGAAAAUGAAUAUUCUUUAAAAAAUGAUGAUAGGAGUCUUGUAAUCAAGAUCAAGAGUAUAGAUCUUGUUUUAAAUAGUUUAAAGAAUUUUCUAACAAAAAUUCAAUUGAUUUGGAUAUUUUUACACCGUUAAACGAGAAAACGUCUCUCAUCCACCAUUAAAAUUACAAAUUUUGAAACCCUUUGAUCAUUAGGCAAAUGCUGUCGAAAAGAUUUGAAAUUUGAUUUCUAAACACUUCAAGUGGUAUAGAUCAUGUUCAACGGAGCCGAUCGUCAAUUUGGAAGCUCUAUCAUCGAAAACAACUCGAUAGUAAAACGCCCCGUUUACUAUCGAGAGUAUUCUAGCUCAACUCUAUAUAUAUAUAUAUAUAUGACAUAUUUCUUAUUAUUUUAUAUUAAUAUUUAUAAUUUAAAAUAAGAUAAUAUAGUUUAGUUUAGUACUAUAUUAAUAUAUAGUUAAAAUUUAAAAUAAUACAAUAUUAUUUAUUUAAUAUUAUGAUAAUAUUAUAAAAUAAUAUUUGUUACAUUUAAUUAAUUUAUUAUACGAAUGUUUAUAAAAAAUAUUGAUUUAAUAACAAAUUUUUCUAAUUUUCAAAUCUUUUUAGUAUCGCGAUAUCCUGAUGUGUAAUGUUGUAUUUUUUUAGUUAUUUUUACUAUUUGUAAUAUUGACUUAAUAAUAAAUACUUUUGUUUUCGAUUGCAAUAAUACUAAAAUAUUUAUAUAUUUAAUAAUCCAGAGCUAAUAAAAAAAUACAUGUAUAUGUGCAAUCGGAUAGUAGUGCAGCGUCUACGGGGAAGAAGAGCCGCCGCCUACGGCGGCGCCUAGAGUGGGAGGGGAUGGAGGCAGAUCCAGUCGGCAAGCGCCAGGCGGCUUCGAUAGAGCCAGACGGCCACGGCGGAAAGGAUGACGGCGAGCGUGAUGUAGCUCACUAUGAGGAUCGCGACGAGGAUCCCAUGGCUGCUGCCGGCGGCCCCGGUGUAGAAGUUGACGUCGUCGAAGGUGCUGCCGGUGAAGCUCGGCUGCGCGCCUUCGGCCGUCGAAGGUGCUGUCGUCGACGGUGCUGUCGUCGAAGUUGACGUCGACGAGGAUCCCAUGACAUUACUUAUUUGAUCUUGCAAAUAGAUCAAUCAGAUAAACUUCCAUCAAUACUGUUUUGAAAGUGUGGUGCUCAAAGUAUCCAUUAUUCCAGAUCCACUUUAGGCGAUAGAGGGGAAUUAAUUUAUACUUUAUCCGCAUAUUUUCUAUCGCUAUCAUUUUACAUAUAACUCUACAACUAAGGAAGAGUUCAAUAGAGGCUUCCCAUCAACCCACCAGUUGAACAUUCCAAUUUGCUUUUGAAUUGUUUGAGAUUUAUCCUGAUAUAGCCAUCAGUCAAGAUGGUAAUCCCAAAAGUUCAUCUCAUGCAGUUUAUUUCAAGGAAUAUAAUUUCAUUCUACACAAGCCAAAAUAGAAAGAGAAAGAAAUAAGUAACUGGGUGAUUUCUUUCUCAAUAUUCCAAGGUACUUAGUCCAAUCAAAAGAGUCUCAACUCCAUCCUAUUAAUUCUUCUAUUCAAUCAUCCAUCAACUGCUUUGUAGAGUUCAUAGAAUAAAUGAUUGAACAAUCCCCUCAAGACCUUCUUUGUCAGAGAAAGCUACAAAAUUCUCCAUAUUGCUACUCCAUCUACCAAAUGCAUCUAAUGCUCAAAACUGAUUAAAAGAUCCACAGGUCUCGAUAUAGCUCAACUAUUUAAUUGUGUCUCCAAUUGAAAUCACGAUAUUCGACACAUAGUCGAACAACUCAUCCAGCCUCACAACAAGUGAGAUUGCCUCCCCACAACGAAGCACUAGGCAUAAAAGUCUCUCUACUUGCCAAGCUCACCAUUUGUGACUUGAUCAGCAAUGCAACACUUCUCAGAAUUAUCCACCAUUUUGAGGAUUUUUUACUCAUUCUAAAUUAUCAGCCAAUUAAGCUCCAAUCUUAUAUAAAUACCCAACUUAGGUGAAAUAACAGUCUUCGCAAUCAGCAAAAUUAAACCUCAAGAUACAUCACUUUAUGCUCAACUUCCCGAGACGAAUCAGUUCAGUUCGCACCACUCUUGGUACAAAGUACCUCACAAGUUAGAUUUCAAUCAAACAUUCUACCACAUGUAAGGCCAACCAAUUUGUUGGCACAUACAAAACCAUCUCACUAGACAGAGCGUAUCAUUGACCAUUCUGCUAUUUCAAUCAUUCUCUACCUGCAUCCAGGAAAAGAAUCAAUAUUGUUUCACUCGGCAAACAGCCGAUUAGGGAUGGAAUUAAAACAAUCAUCUUAACAUAAUCAGGUGAUAAGAACACGGCACAACAUACUAUCUGCAGUAAUCAUCAUUGCCGUCACACUUGGCUCUAACAAUUUUGCUGACAUACAUCACUGAGUGUUUCUUGCAACAAAGUCGGUGCAGACACCUUAGUCAACAUGUUAUUCUCCGGGCACUCAGAUCGAAAAUGGCCCUCCUGACCACAUACAAAACACUUUCCUUCCGCUGAGGGCACUUUGGUGGAACGCGUGGACCUUCACAUAUCACACAUUGCCGUGAUGAUCGACGUCUCAACAUUCUCUGCUUAGAAAAAGAACCGUGUCCUCAAGGGUGACUCUUCUUUACAUUCCUUGAUGAUUCCUCAACCUGUAACUGAUCACCUUUGGUGGUCUCCUUUACUCUCUCAUUAUAUUCCAUGCCUCUUCUUACAAUUAAAGUGUGAUCUGCAACUUCAUAGAAUUUCUUAAGAUCUAACAUCUGUUGGUUCAACAAGUUCUCUAAUCGUCUGAUUCCCUCAUCUUGUCGGCGUAACGCUUCUACUUGAAGUAACACUACAUUCGACUGUCGCUCUACUACUCCAACUAAAUUAGUCAACUGCUCAUUUAAUUCCCGAAUCUCGCCAGAUUCAGAAGGUGCAAACUUUUCUGGCGCAGUCGUCUCAGUCACUAUAGAGUGCAUCUUUCACAUCACAAGCUGCAACAAAUAAAAGAUGCACAGGUUAAACAACCUAUGCUAUCGUAUCCCACUCAUAAUUAUAAGAUUCCAAUCACGCGAAAGUAAUGAAAUGAUCUCCCACUAUUCCCCGAUAUCACGUUGUCGGCCGCCAAUGUGAUCUUGCAAGGACAUAGAGGUUUUUUUCAUUUCAAUCCAACUCCAACGCUUUUGGAGUUAUAAUUAUAACCCAAUCAUAAUACUUUCGCCCAAAAUAGUCACAAAAGACCCCGUCUCUCACGUUCCUAAUCCUGAUCGCCCAACUGGCCUAAGGUUUACUAGGUCCACUAAGACUCAACCCUAAGCUCUGAUACCACUAUAAUCUGUCACGCCCUGGACUUCAGCGGGAGCUCACAGUGACGUGCACAGACCCGCCGUGUACAUCAAACAAUCAUAGCGUACACCAGGCGUCUACAAAGAGAAUGAACAAUCUAGCAACAAGAUCAUAACUUAACUAAGUAAUCAGAGCACAACUAAAAGUUUAAAACUUAUACAACCCAGAACUUUAUCACAAUGUAAAGAAAAUCAAAUACCUUCUACAUACUCUCAGAAUACAACACUGAACUACAUCACAAUAAAUUGAUAAAGGUUCAUCUAUUUAUCGUCGAGAAAGCUCUAGCUAGUCGUUGACCCCUCGCCAGGAACCCUAGCCUUUCCCGCGGUGGAAGGCUCUGUAAAAACAACAACAAAGAGGCCGUGAGAACUAUUAAACAAUAGUUCCCAGUGGGUAAGCCGCCGAGAGUGGCGAAGUACACCACUAGGUCAACUGUGGCAUGAGUAAAUAGCAAUAAAUAAGUAAAUAACUGCAACAGGUAUGAAAAUAAACCAAUCAUGCUAUUUGCUCAGAAAUAAAUAUAUAUCAACAGGUUGCAGGUACUAGUUUAUUAUAAUAAAUUCCGUCAUUCAUAUUAAUGGUAAAGCUGUCAUUGUUCACCAUUCUAAGCAAUGUCCACUUAUCGUUUAACUACUCAAAGUUUAAAUCUUGUAAGACCCACCAGAAGGCUGUCUGGUAUGAAGACCCACCCGAAGGCUGUCUAAUAUGAAGACCGGCCCGAAAGCUGUCUAAUAUGAAGACCCACCUGAAGGCUGUCUAAUAUGAAGACCCACCCGAAGGCUUUCUAAUAUGAAUACCCACCCGAAGGCAGUUUAAUAUGAAGACCCACCCGAAGGCUGUCUAAUAUGAAGACCCACCUGAAGGCUGUCUAAUAUGAAGACCCACCCGAAGGCUGUCUAAUAUGAAGACUGUAAUCCAUGGUACUAUAUCACAAUGACAUCAUGGGAUCUCAACUUGACCUAAGGUCGAUACUGUAGUACCAAAUCAUAAAUUGCUAUCAACUACUUGUUGACAUAAUUCACUAUCAAUAGCUAGUAUAACUUAAUAAGUUCAAGCUUUACAUUGUACUAGUGAUUCUAUCAGGCUACACCUGGUCACUCACUCAUAGUUCUCUCACUACUCCUUACACAUAAGGAAAGUGGUUUACUAAAGUCAUGCUCAAAGACUCAUGACACAUAUUCUGUAGUUCAAUGUAAACCUCCACUACUUGGAGAGAACAAAUGCUAUGCAAUUACAUCUAUUUGAUUAUACAGAUAUGUCAUCAUGUUCAACUCUAGUUAUUCACUAGAUUAUGUUCAUACCAUAACAACCAUGUUGUGUUACAAUACCAGUUCUAACCACAUAACUAGAUCAAAAUCAUAUAAGCCAACACUAGAAAUCAUUCUAUGAUAACAAUAAUCACCUUGACAGUACACGUAUACGAAGCCUCUUUAACUGUACUGUUCAUAUAAUUUCCAUAUCAUUACAUAAAUAUGUAGUUUCACCAUAUAUGAUAUGCUGAAAGUUCAAUCAACUUGUCUACCGUAUACUACUGGAGGAAUUUAGUUCAUAGAUACAUUAUCUCAAUACAUCAUUCAUUCAACUGUCCAAUUGGCCAAACGUCAUGUUCUUAGGUUAUACUUAGUGCCCUCACAAUCAUCCUUUAACAUAACUACAUGCUAAUCAAGCAAGCAGUUUAUAUAAACCAGGCAAUUUCAUAUAGAUAGAGAUUUUAUCCUGUAUGACCUAUUCGGCAUUCACUGCAUGUCCCCAUACAUUCAUAUAUCCAUACAUGCAUGUGAAUAUGUCACUAUUCUAAUUCAUAAUGUCAAAGAAGACAUAGAGAAAAUUCACCCAUUUCGGAAAGGUCCGACCCACCUAUUAGUCGCCGAUUCUUGUCAAAGUCACACUUGCAGGCAAUCUGGAAUCUCUAAGUCCUCUAAUAACAAAAUUGACAUCAACUAAGAGUUGAUUUUAAGUAUUUAUAAUCGAGCCUCUUAAUAUCAUAUAAUAGAGAUUAAACUCUUACCUAGGUUUAGACUAAAGCUAAACCUCUGCUUAAUUCAGGUUGAAGUACUCUCAAACUCAGUUUAAUUCAGCCCAAAAGGGUCUCAAUGUUCAACCCAAAGUGAUCUUCGCACCUGCUGCGAACUAGUUAGAAAACUGCAUUGAAACAAUUGCCGAAACAUCUAAUUCUAACAAUAUCUCACCUUGCACAUGGUUACAGCUUGAACUUCUGCUUUAGUUCAGGUUAAGGUACUCACCUUAACCUCCAAAAGCUCCUAAAUAUCAACCAAGAACAAUCCAAUAACCUUUAGCAACCUGCUGCGAAUAUUACUUAAACAGUGUUAGUACACCUGUGCAAUUCUUAGAAUAUGCUGGAAUUAGGUAUACAUAGAUUUCCAACCUGAAUUCUUACUUCCCUCUCGUUAAUUUUCAUCCAAAAUCCACUCAUAAGAUUGUAAUACUCAGCUUAAAGUGAAGAUUCCAGCUGCUGAGAGCACAACUUCCCAAAAUCAGCAUUCAUUACUAUUAAUGAUUGAUUUCACAUAUAUUAUAGAAAACUUUAAUAAUUUAAUUGAUUAAAAUAUUAUAUUUUCUUAUUUAUCUAAUUUAGAAAUGUUGGAUCGAUGCGAAAAAUUCCGUUUUUCCUUAUGGGCUUAUCUAAUUUAGAAAUGUUGAAUCGAUGUGAUAAAUCGCGCCGUAUUAUACACACAACUUUUUUUUGUACCGCAUGACUAGAAUAUUCAAUCAUAACCGUAAAAGUAUAUUAUCUAUUUUUAAAUAUACGAUAUUAUAUGUUUAGAAUAAAUAAUAUAUAUAUAUAUAUAUAUAUAUAUAUAUAUAUAUAAAACAUAUUGCUUAUAAUUUUAUAUUAAUAUUUAUAUUUUAAAAUAAGAUAAUAUAAUUUAGUUUUGUACUAUUUUAAUAUAUAGUUAAAAUUUAAAAUAAUAUAAUAUUAUUUAUUUAAUAUUAUGAUCAUACAUAUAAAAUAAUAUUUGCUACAUUUAAUUAAUUUAUUAUACGAAUGUUUAUUGCUAAAAUAUUUAUAUAUUGAAUAAUAUUUGUUAUUGUAGAAAAUUGUAAAUAUUUUCACGUACAUUUUUUGACAAGAAUGAAUAAUACUGUGAAUAUAUUAUAAUAUUACUCUUUGUGAAACUGAACGAUACUAAGGCCCUGUUUGGAUGCAUAGUUAAAAAAUUCCAUGAAAUUUUUAUUCUGUGGUUUUGGUCAAAAUGAAAUACGGGAAUCCUGUGACUACAAAAAAAUUCCACGGUUUUAUUUUUAAGCUGUUUGGAUACAUAUCGUAUAAUUCCACAGGAUUUAUAACAAUUAAAUUUUUAAAAUUUUAAAAUUAAAAAUACAAAAUUCCAAAUUUAAAAAUAAAAUUUUAAAAAAUUAAAAUUCAAAAUUUAAAAAUAAAAUGUUAAAUUUUAAAUUUUAAAAUUAAAAAUUUUAAAAAUUAAAUAUGAAAUUCAAAAUAUAAAAUUUAAAUUAACAUUCGAAUUUGAAAUUUAAAAUUUGAAUUUGAAUUUUAAAAAUUAAAAUUUUAAUUUCAAAUUAAAAUUUUAAAAAAUUAGAGGUUCUCAUUUUAAUUUAAAUUUCAGAAUUUAAAAUUAAAAUUUAAAAUUAAAAUUUAAAAAUUUAAAUGGAACUAAAUAUUGUUAAUGUAUAAUAUAUUCUCGUAUAUAUAAAUAUAAUCAUUAAUAACAAUAUAUCUAUAUAUGAUAUAUUAUAUCAUUUAUUCCUUAUAUAAUAUAUAUAUAUAUAUUAUAUAUAUAAUAUAAGUAUAUAAUAUAUAUACUACUACUAUAUUAUAUAGAAAGAGUAAGACUACUAUGCUAUCGGAAGCAUGGAGCCUUCCGUGCUUCAACUCGUUUUCGAUAUUGGAUUUCAAUCCGUCGAUCGGCUCCGUUAACUUGAUCUAAGUAUUCGAAGUACCUAGCAAACUAAAUCUUUAUGAUUUUACGAUUAUGCCAUUUCCUACUCGAUACGAAGGGUCAAACAUCGACGGCUGAAAAUAAAAUCUAACAAAAUAUGAUAGUAUGACAUUAAAUUUUUAAAUCAAAAGAUAUUGAUGCUUAUUUUAUAUAGUAUACAAGAAUUUCUAUCAAAAUUUCACGUGAUUUGGAUUAUUUCUACAAACACCGCUAACUUGGCAAACGGGCUCAUACGACCCAUUGAAAUUUGUGAUAUUUGCAGCCCAAUUCUCCACUAGGCAAUGAUAUCGAAAAAUCAAUAACAAUUUAUUUCUAGAUACUCCAAAUACUCUAGAUCAAGUUUUACGGAGCCGAUCGACGUUUCUGCAAGUCGAAGCAUCGAAAACGGGGUCUGCAUGUCGGUUAGCUGGUAAGGCACGGAAAGGCUCCGCUUCGAUAGCAUAGUAGGCCUCACUAAUAUAUAAUAUUAUAAUAUAUAAUCAUAUAUAAUAUAUCCAUCAUAUACUAUCUACAUAUAUAUAUAUAUAAUAUAUAUAAUUAAAUAUUUUAUUUUGAUAAUUAAUAUAUCGGGCUUUUGGGUCGGGCUCGGGUCGGGCUGGGACGUGCCCAAAUAGGCCCAAAAUUUUUUCGGGCCUAAAUUUUUAAACCCAGCUCGAACCCAAAGUUAUAUUUUUAAUACCCAAAGCCCGGCCCAAACAUGGCCCAUUGGGCCGGGCCUUGUUUAGGCCCGGGCCCAGUUCCACCCCUAGUUGUAUUUAACGAUUUUUAAUCUAAUAAUUUUUAUUGUUAAUUUUUAGAUUAUGUGAAGUGUACUAAUAACAUAUAAUUUUUUAAAUAUUAUCAAUUCCAGCUAUCAAAAUAGAUGCUAAUUUUUAAAAAACGAAAAUAUGUGGAAACCUCCUAAACUAUAAGUAAUUUUGAAUUCCCCUAAAGUUGAAUUUUUUUUUUUAUUAAACGCCAUCUUAAUUUAUAAAUUUUUAAAAUUUCUUAAUUAUUUUAAUUAGAAAUUUAUUAAUCUUAAUAUUGAUAUCAUAUUUAAAAAAAAUUAAUUAAAAUAAGUUAAUGUUGAGAGAUCUAUUUCUAGUCCUAAUUCACCGCAUCACCUCUAGACUACAUAUAUUCAUUUUUUUUUUAAUUAUUCACUUAUUUUUUUAAAAAAUAAUCUUUAAUGCUUGAGAUAAAUUGAUAGCUAAUAUUAAAAAUUGUAAUCAAAAGAGAAACAUAGGUUAACACGGUAUAAGAUGAGAUGGUGCAUUAGGUCCAAAAGACAAUUUCUGUGAUUUCACUGGCUUUGUUAAGCUGUGUUGAUUAUUUCCUGAACUAAGUUCGCUUUGUCAUUUGUUGACCAUACAAAUAAUUUGUUUUCAAUAGAGAAAAUAUAUAAUGAUCAAUAAUUUUAAAAUAAAAUAUAAUAUUCAUAUAUACAAUAUAUAAUAUUUAAAUAUUUUAUUGUACUUUUUAAAGUUCUUUUUAAUGCAUAUUGUAGUGUGGGUCUAUGGUGCACCAGGCGCGUGCAAAUUGUCUUGCCAUACUGUAAGAUCUAAUUGAUUUCAAGUUUAUGCAGAGGGGAGAAAAUGAGCUGGGUUGUCGACACGUGGCUUCCGUGAUUUCAUAGGACUGAGAUUAAUAGGAAUUAAAAAUAAUUAAUAAUUAAUUAAUAAAAAAUAAUAAUUAAUUAAUAAUGAAUAAUUAAUGUUGCGUUUUAUGUUAUCAAUAUUAUAGAUAUAAAAAUAUUAUAGAUUAAUAGAUAGAUUGGAACGGAUUAGUUAGUAGAAAUGAAACAAUUGGAAAUUAAUAGUGCAAAUCGACCGUCCCUAGAGCAAGUGGCAAAGGGUUUGAUGGUUGGUACCUGAGACCCAAGUUCGAAUCCUAGUUGAUUCAUAUUUUCAGUUAAGUUUAUUUCUAAAUAAAAUAAACGAAGCGGGUAGCGUGCUACCUAUCUUUAAANAAAAAAAAAAAAAAAAUAGUGCAACGGGGAGAAAGUUUUCUCUCUCUGUCUUGUAAUGAGCAUUAAUUAAUGGUAAGUCUAAUAAUAAUCUAUUAUUUAUAUGGGCCAAAAUUUUGGCCCAUCAGAAUUGUCCCCCAUUUUCUUAGGGCUUAAAGAUUCAUGUUUAUUUUCUUGUGUCGAUCAAGAGUUAAGCCCAAUAAAUGGCUCCCUAUAAACUAAUGGAUCAAAUAUGGGCCUAAAGUCAGGCCUAAUAAAAUGUUUUUUAAUUAAUUUCAUCAUUUUCUAAAGGCUAAUUCGAAAACAUUGGUUCAACUAUUAUCAAGCUGACAAAAAAAGCUUUCCAGUUGGUUUUUUAUAAAUGAAUUUAACCAAAAAAGAUUAAUUUUAAGUAAAAACUUCAAGUAGGAGACUUAAAAGUACUUGUCAAAUCAAAAAAUAAGGGGCUUUCCUCAUUUGCAAAAAGACCUUAUCUUGAAAAGUAUUUUCAAAUCCGAUCCCUUAUGUGACAGCUCCACAAUGCCACUGUAAUAGAAUUAUAGAGAGGUUAAUUUGGUGCACUAAACAUGAUGAAUGGUUCUUAGUUUUGUUUAUGCUUUUUGCAUUGAGAGAUUGCAAUAGGUGCAAUAUGGUGAUUUCUCCGAUUUUGUUGGAAAAUAGAAGAACAUAUCUAACUGUGCAUCUGUCCAGUACUAUUUUAGCCCAAUAGUAUUAAACAAUCCUUUAUACCAAUGACACUUAAAUUGUAUAGACCACUAUACUGGCUAAGAUUAAGGUUGACCGUAAUUUGGAGAUAAUAUAUCGCAAGAUAUUUAUAUCCAGAUUGAAUAGCAUUCUAAGAGGACGAGUGAAUUAGGUUUCCAGUGUGUAUUUUAAUUCCCUUCAGAGGAGGACUGAUUCAUCAAGAAUUGACUAGUAUAUAAUCCUGCAACCUAGGAACCUCAAUUUCAAACUCAUUGUCAACUCAAUCAUUCUUAACCUCUAAGAACUUCCUCUCAUUGCCAAUUUGGGCAUGUUUCAUGUCAAAUAUUCAUGCUUACCCUGCUUCCCAGGCUCACUUUUGUUUCAAUCCUAAAAUCUUUAAGAACGUCGACAUGUCGAAUUGUAAACAAAAGAACAAUGCUAUUUUAAAACAAGAGCAAAACUUCUUCAAACAGGUUGUUUAAGAAUACUCCGUCUUAAGCAAAACAUUUUGAUCCUAGCCUUUUCCUUUGAGUUGGGGUGCAAGUAAAAGGGAUAUCCACUUAAACCUGUGUUAGUUUUAGGAAUUUCAAAAUGUUUGUUAAAUUGGUUUUCAAAUGCGUCGAUGAUUAAAAUUCCAAGAUAGUCCAACAAUCUCGAUAUUUGGUCAUCAUGAAUCAAAGCACUCAAAAUUUUGAUAAUUAAGUAGAAUGGUUUGAAAUUGAUCAUUCAUCUCAUGUCUUGAUCUACCAUAUAAUCGUUAAAGAAGAAACCAAAUCCAACUUUUAGAAAGCGCUUCUAGAAUAUAGUUAGCUGAAAGAUUGUACCCAAAUCAGAGAUGUUAAAGCUAGAACUCACUUGACAAUGAAAAUGAAAGAAAAGAAAAACUAGACAUGGUAGACAGUUAUCUGGCCACAGGACAUUGUGUUGGCUACUUAUUAUUAGCUACAGUAGAUUCAACUUUCUAUUCCGUAACAAUAGACCCAGAAGACUAAUAAGUUGAAUUGGGUGAACUCAACAAGUUGAAUGGGACUACAAUCCACAAUAGAUCUAACGAUAAAAAAUCCAACAAUGUAUCUAACGUCCAGAAAGGUUGAGUCAGAUCUAAAUUCGUGAAGUGUUGUGACUGAGCCAUUAAGUGCGAUAGGUGCGCCCUUUUCUAUAAGCAUGUACUUUUCGAUAAUUGGUUAGCGCUUAUGAUCCACAAAAGGUAUCAGAGCCGCUAACACCGGUUCGAUUCCUACAUCGAACUUCCUACUCCGUAACAAUAAACCUAGAAUACUAGUAGAUUGAGUGAGGUUGCGGUUUAUAAUAGAUUCAUACACAUCGCAAGGUCGACUAUAUAAGUGGUGAAACAAAAAUGCCAUUGCCAACUCAAACCAUAUGUACCAUUGUGUGGAAUUCAAAAAUAACCUCAAAAUGUACCUAAAAACAUAAAUGCAACACAUGAAGGGAAGCACAGUUACAAUCACUUAAAGAUAACAAGACAUGUAACAAAAAGGAAGUGCCAAAUGAUGAUGAUGUUCAGAAACAACCUUAUUCCAAACUUCCUCAAUUGCUUUGUCAUUUUGAUAUGUAGAAUGUGACUUCAGAUUAGUUGCAGAUUCUUCCAUAACUGACAAAGAUUCUCUAAUUUUUGAUCCCUCGUCUCCUCAGCGGAAGUGUUUCCCGCAGUCUGUUGCUCUUGUAAGAUCCAACAUGCAACUCUCAUUAUAUCUUCUUCAAAGAAGAAAGUGGCCAUGUCACUGUGAAUCAUAAAACCAUCGAGGCUGUCGCGAAUGCUCUCGUGGCUAUCACGAAUACUUCGAGGGAUGCCUUCCCAUGUCAUCUUCCUGCCAUUAGUUUUAACAGCAAGGCCGUAACUAUAUUUCCUUGCUUCAUUGUCCUCACCCAUAAAACGGACAUAAGCCAAAUAUAUCGGCGAGCCCGAGAGAUGAAAUGACUCAAAGAACAAGCAGAAGUAGUGUCCAUAGCAGUGAAACACCUACAGAAAAACAGGGGAAAACAACAUCCUAUAUAAGACCUAACAUACGAAAGAAUAUAUGUUAUCUAAAUAAACUGCACCAAAAUAUGAAGUUCUGAAAACUAAUAUCUACAAUCGCACAAUAGUUCAAUAACGUUUUUCUUGUUAAGAACUCUACUCGAUCAGACAACAGUAUGUCAUAACCUCAUAAUUCUUUAAGGCACAUACUAUUAAUAAGAUAAAAAAUGUAACUAAGCAGUAGAAAAAGCUUACAACAGGCUUCCAAGUCCUAUCCUGAAACCCGGUUUCAUAGGUUAUGAUGUAUCUCUCGCUGUAGGAGCACCCGUUACUUGUUCGACCAUUGUGACUAUCCUUUAAAUGCGCAACAAGGAAAGAAAUGUUCCCGACGACAGAGCAUCGAGGGUAAGGACAGUUGAAUGGUCUGAAGCUGCAUUGUUCUUCAUGUUUGGAUUUGAUGCUGUAUGGAAGGACUUCUGGGCAGCCUGAUGACUGGUACUUGCAGGAAUGCUUAAAUUUCUCAGCUACCUUUUCCAGCACCAAACACCUGAUGUCCCCCAACUCCUGUCUGCAGGUGGGGCACUGGUUGCCCACUUUAGAUUUGCAUGCCGAGCACAAAGGAUGCCCAUUUUUGCACUGUAAAAUUGAUAAAGUAAGUUGUAGGCUAUCGAUCAUGCAACGUCGACUGCUGAUGUGAUGAAUCAAAUAAGAACUGUAAUAAAUCGAGCAGUUAGUCCUAGAAAUGCGCAUUUGUAAGACAUUCCACCGUAUUUUUCGCACUCUGCUCUGAGUGUUUGACGGGAACAAAACAGAAAAAGCAGCAUGCGGACACUACUCUCUAACACGAGCACGAGCACGAGCUGGGCACCGCAUCGUCUUGGCUUUCCGGUUCAGUUCACUUAUGCUUAAAGCUUAGCUUCUUGGUUUGCGUUGCGCUACCUUGGAGACGUGCUGAUAGGAUAGCUCAUGGUCGUUGUAUCGCUAGAAGUGAUCGCCAAGAUCCCGCAUGUGGAGGGACAAUCUUAUUUUUAGGACAGUGCCUAUCACACCUCGACCGACAAGCCUCAUCUGAACUUUAUAUUUCUAUAAUGCUUCGACAAUGAUUCAUGCAUGCGAGUUUUUUUUAAAAAAAAUUGUUUAAUGCUUUGUGAUUAAAAUAUUAAAACAUAUAUAUUUGUACCAAAAAAUAGACUCAUUUCCAAGUACAGUUAGAAUAGAUUCAAUAGAUUAAUAAUAAUAACCGUAAUAAUAAUGCUAACAAUAAUCACAGAGGCCCCUGUUUUUAGAUGUGGGAAAAAAGUUAAAUUAAUUGAUUGGUUAAAUGCAUACAGGUCCCUAUAAAUAAAGUGAAUUGCAACUAUAUUCUUACAAAGUUCAAUUUUCAGAUGUUGUCUCUAUAAAAAUUCUAAUAUUUUCAAGUAUGUCCCUCUAAUUUGUUACUAUUAAAAAAUUAUUUAUAUUUUAACAGCAAAUAAGUGAAAUAUUAAUUUUGCCAUCACAAAUACGUCCCUCCAAAAGCCACAACAAGUAUAAUAUAAGAGAGGUAAAAAUGUUAAGUUAUCUCACAAACUAAUCAGGGUUAAGUAAGUAUUUAACUUAUGGUUAACUAAAUUUUUCUACGAAUUCUAACGUCAAGAGCAUAUUUGAAGGCAUUAAGAUUUUUACAGGAACAACAUAAAAAAAUUAAACUUUAUGAAAAUAUAUUUAUAAUUUAUUAUAUUUGCAGGAACUUAGAAUGCAAUUAACCCUUAAUUUGGUAAUAACUUGUGCAGUAUGGUAGUCCUUUUCUGCGAUCGUGCGGUGAGAAGUUGGAUUUUAGCCGACCGUAACGUUCUCCUAUUAGGGGAAUUCUGACCAAACCAAAAGUCAAACAAAGACUCUAGAAACAGAACAUAUCUACUGCAAUCCAUGCAGUCUAAAAACUUUAAGAGGGUGUGGAUUUAAGACUCCCUAGAGUAUAUAUAUAUAUAUACAAUAGUUAUAUCAAAUCCCUUCAUGGAGUCUCUAAUUAAUAUUAUUAUUAUUUCAUGUGUACAAGAUAAUUCAUAUGCGGGGAAUUGAUUCUGCACAUAAUAAGGGAGAAAUAAUCGAACUCACUUGGUAGAUGGGAGGGUGCAUGGUGAUCAAGCAGAUGGGGCACUCGAGCAGCUCGCGCAGGCUGGGAUCUUCGUCGCCGCCGUUUCCGCCGCUCGCGCUGCUCGACUGAUCGCCCAUCGAACCUCACCCGAUCUCCUUCUCUCUCUCUCUCUCUCUCUCUCUCUCUCUCACUCUCUCUCUCUCUCACGCGCACUCGCGACGCAAAAGCGAGCUAUGAGAAGAGAACAAGAAGAAUUUUUAGAAGAGAGAGAGAUGAGGGAGCCGAAGAGGAGGGAGAAGAGAGGAAGGGACAAGAGAGAGAGAGAGAGAGAGAGAGAGAGGGAGACGACUAACGGUAACGGAACAGCUCUUUAUUUCUAUUUGCUUUGCUUGAAGCAAGCUAACCAACCACAGCGUUUUCUUCUUUUUUUUUUUUUCUUUCUUUGGGUACAUAGCACAUUUAGUCCCCCAACCUAUGAUUGUGUUAACACUUUGAUACUCAAAUUUUAAUUUAUGAUAAUUAUUACAAUUAAAUCGUAUAUAACCUAAUUUUGUUGAUGAAAUAUUUAUAAAUUGCUAAUUUAGAGAUAAUAUAAUAGUAUUGUAAUUGUCUAUGUGCUAAUAAUUAAAAUGUCACAUCAUUUUAAGUUGUGAAAAAUAGUUUAGUGAUGAAUAGUAAUAUAAAAAUUGACGAAGGAUCGAAAGUUUAGUAGUGCACUUAAAAAAAGUGUAUAGUGCAGCAACUAAUAAAAACUAAAAUAUACUGCAGUGAAGUAUAAUUAAGCCUUAUUAAAUUUACUUAUAAUUAAAAACCUAUUGAGUUAUUAACCUUCAUAGAAUUUUUAAUCAAACUAGUUAGAAUAACGUUAAUUCAAAUAAAAAAAUUAUAGAGAAAUUCUACUUGAGAAGGGAAAAUUUUGAGAGAUAUAUUUGAACAUGGUCCACAUCUUGUUGAGAAAGUCUCCGUACACCCAAAAAAGAAUGUAGACCUUACACCCCGAAUUUUAUAAUUUGAUUAACUCAAAUAAUUUUUAAUAAAAAAUAAUUUCAUAUAGAUUCCUGCAAAUAUAAUAAAUAAUAAAUAUAUUUCUACAAAGUUCAACUUUUAUAUGUUGUUCUCAUCAAAAUCCUGAUGCUUUCAAAUAUGUCCCUACCGUUAGAAUCCGUUAGAAAAAUUUAGUUAAUCAUAGGUUAAAUAUUUAACCCUGAUUAGUUUUUGACAUUUUUAGCCCUCUUAUAUUAUACUGUUAUGAUUUUUAGAGGACAUAUUUGUGAUGGCAAAUUUGAAAAUAUAAAUAAUUUCUAACGGUAACAAAUUAGAAAGACAUAUUUGAAAACAUUAGAACUUUUACAGUGACAACAUAUGAAAAUUAAACUUCGUAGUAAUAUAUUUGUCAUUCACUAUAUUUACAAAAAUUUGUAUGAAAUUAACCCAAAAGAAAAUUGAUAUGACAAGUAAAAUAUUAAUAGUAUGGAGAUGGAGUUGGUACAAAAUGUACAUCUUACUUUCGGGUGUACCAACAAUAUUACUCUUAUUUUUUAAACAGAAAUUGAAAUAACUGUAUUUUUUUUUUUUUUUUAUUUCAAACUUGGUAAUAUAAUCUAUAGGAAAAUUUCAAAAGAGUAUUUUGGGAUAAGCAAUACAUCUAUGCAAGAGAAAUUCAAUUCAUGGCCAAAACAUUUCAAAAUCGUCCAAUGUUCUUACACUAAUUUUUUCUGCAAACAAAUUAUAACAUGCUAUCUACUUUAUUCCUUAAUUAUACUGUGCUACAAAUGUGAGGCAAAAAAAAUUUUCUAACACUUAUUCUCUGUUAAAAUUAUUCUAAUUAAUUUAUUAGAUUAAAUCAGACUUUCAAAUAGUUUAUUUAAAAUGUCGUUUUGUGGCGACAAUAGAGAUAUUUUGAGUCUUAAACAUAAGAAUAAGUGUUCACUAUAUAAAAUAUUAAAAAGGGUAAACUUCAAAUACUAUCCCUAUGGUUUCGCACUUUCUCACUUUAGUAUCAUACGGUUUAAUGUAUAUUAAUUUAGUAUCUUGUAGUUUUAUUUUAUUUUUUUGUCAGCUCCUCCGCUAACAUUUCGUUAAAUUAUAUACAACAAAUUUUAGAUACGUCACUUAGUUUAUUGAAUAUUCACUUUAAUACCUUCUAGUUUUAACUUUGUUACUGAUUUAACGAAAAAAAAAAAAUUGACGAAAAGAAAAAAAAUAAAAUUAUAGAGUAUUAAAUUGAUAUGCUUUAAACUAUAAUGUUAAAGUGAGAAAAUGCGAAAUCAUAUGAAUAGUAACUCUUUAAAGUUUAUCCAUAUUAAAAACUAUUUUCCAUAACUUAAAACUACUAAAAUUUUUCUAGAGCAUGGUUUCACAUCAUUUCACACAACUAGUCUAAUAAAAUAUUAUUGACUCGAAACAAGCUGCGUGGAAAAAUACAUAGGAGGGGCUUUAAUUUAAUCUUAUUAAACUUUUAUUAUUGUAUUGAUCUAUAUUAAACAUCUUUUCGCGACUAUUUCUCCCGUUACCCGCGUGGAUUCAUACUCAAAAUCAUGUGGUAGGUAUUUUUUCUUCUUGUCGCUCAUUAAAUUAAGAGUAAACUUCAAAUACCCCCUUAUAAGUUUACACUUUUUUAUUUUAAUAUUCUAUAAUUUAAAGUGUAUCAAAUUAGUCUCUAUGAUUUCGCACUUUCUCACUUUAGUACCAUGUGGUUUAAAGUGUAUCAAGUUAGUACUCUAUGAUUUUAUUUUUCUCUUUUUAUUAUCUAUUUCACUAAUUUUUUUCGUUAAAUCAAUAACAAAGUUAAAAUUAAAAGGUAUUAAAGUAAAUAUUUGAUAAAUCUAGGUAAAAUAUCUGAAGUUUUUUAUAUACAAUUUAACGAAAUAUUAACGGAGGAAAAAAAUCAAUGACAAAAUUAAAGCUAAAGAGUACUAAAGUAAAUAUUCGAUAAACCUAGGUAGGAUAUCCGAAGGUUUUUGUAUAUAAUUUAACGAAAUAUUAAUAGAGGAGCCCACGAAAAGAGAAAAAGAAAAUCAGGGUAUUAAAUUAAUACAUUUUAAACCACAGAAUAUUAAAGUGAGAAAGUACAAAACCACAGGAUACUAAAUUGAUGCACUUUAAACUAUAUGAUACUAAAGUGAAAAAGUACGAAAUCACAGGAAUUAUAUUUGAAUUUUUCCCUUAAAUUAAUCAACUUUGUCGUUAAACAUGAUUAUUUAAUUAACAUAAUUGAAAAUAUUAUGAUAGUGGUACUGUACAUGAUGUCACAAUGGAACACGGCCAUCAUAUUUUCCUAGCAAUUGAAUAUGAAACAUAAAUAUUUAAUUAUCUUGUAGCUUUCAGGUAUAUAAAAAAAAUAGUUAUUUCUCAAAUAUAUAUAUUUUUAAAAUAGUGCUAAAACUAGGACUCCCUUUGGAUUUUAAUUCAGCGGCGCUUCCUAUCAAACCUCUUCUUUUUUUUUCUCUUUUUUUUUUUAACUAGAAACUUUUGAAUCCUAGCUGUUGGUAUCUGAGAUCCAAGUUUGAAUCCUAGUUGAUUCACAUUUUCAGCUAAGUUUAUUUCUAUAUGAAAUAAACGAAACGAAUAGUAUAUUACCUUUCUCUUAAAAAAAAAAAAAAAACUAAAAACUUUGAAGGAGGUGGUAAACCCGGCAACCGUUGGGGUUAAGGAUGGUAGAGAUAAUUACAAUCUUUUUGGUUGUCAAACUAUGAGGCAUAUGACACUUUGGUUCUCAAAUAUUAAUAUGUUAUAAAAUAUGGUUCGAACUUUUUAAAUUAUUGUAAUUAAGUCUCACAACUUAAUUUAGUUGAAUAAAUAUUGACAAAUUAAUAAUACAGAAAUAAUAUGAAAGUAUUAUAAUUAAUGAUACGAUAAUAGUUAAGAUGCUAUAUUAUUUUUAUAUCAAUAAUUUGUCAAUAUUUAACAAACUAAAUUGGGUCGUGGGACUUAGAUUGUAACAAUUCAAAAACCUCAAGAAAAAAAUUUUAAUAAAUUAAACUUUGGAAAUCAAAGUAUCUUGCGCCUCAUAGUUUGAGGACCAAAAGUAAAAUUAUCCUUUGUUUUUGAGAAAACUUGUGACUUCAAGUAUAAUCUCCUCAUUUUCCAUUCAUCCAAAUAACACAAAAAAACAAUUUUUUUUUUCUAAAGUAAUAAUUGAAUUGAAAUGAUUAUGAAAGUUUAGAUACUUAGAGCAAUUAAAUAUAAAGGUUUAAAAACAAAACUAAAUUGGCUGUGCUUAGUUACAGAAUUUUUUAUUUUAUUUGGAUCAAAAUCACAGUUUAUAAAAUCCGUGGAGAUUUUUUACUGUGCAUCCAAAUAGGCCCUUAGCUGGAAAUGUGAAUCAACUAGGAUUUUCUUUAGCUUGUUCACUGAAGCUUGUUGGGGUUUAUUAAUAUUUUGGAUGAUUUAAAACUUUAUUUUGAUAUUCGAGUCCUUGGGAAGCUUUUUAUAUCUUACUAUACCCUAGUCACUUUAGUUAAGGUCUCAGUUUAUCUUUUUACCCUUAUUAUAGUUGGAUACUGUUUUUUGCAUGCGAUUUUUUUGAAUUUUUUUUUUUACUAUUUUACAAAGUAAAUAUUUUAAAAGACAUAUUUCUACUAAAAGAAAGCCUAUAUUUCCAAUAAAUCCAUCGAAAGCAUAAUGUGUUUAAGCUUGAUUUGAUUUUGCCAUGUUCGUUGUAACAUGAGGGCUAAAUUACAGUAUAUGAUAGCAGAAAAAGGCACCAAAUAAUAAUAAAUUAUAAUAAAUGCUGAUUAUACUCUUUCCUUCAAUAUGACUAGGUUAUAAUAAGUACAGCUUCGUCAUAAUUUUAUUUAAAUUAAAAAUUGCAAUGAUUAAAAGCAAUGCUUGAUAAAAUAUUGAGCAAAUGCACAUAAAAUGUUACAUAAAACAGAUGUUUAAUAAGGAUUAUCCUGACGAUGAGACCGUUGAAUCAACCAUUCAUCAAAAUGCAUAAAUCUCAAAACAAUAUGGACAAAGAAUUUACUGGCCUCAUUAUCGGAAAACGUCCCUAUUAAUUUUUUAGGGUAGAAAAUAAUAUAAAAUUUAUCUAAAUUGUAGAUCAUUUUGAGGUGGUUAUCCACCCUUUCAAAAUUUUGAUUUUACUAUUUGACCCUUUAAUUUGUUCAAUUUGAGCCGGUUAACGACACUUUGACUUUAAAAUUUGAAUAUAUGUUUAUCUUUAUAGAUUUAAUUAAUUCAUAUUCUUAUAAUUCUCAUAAUUAUAAAUUUAUUAAAAUAAAUAAUUAGUUUGAACUUUAAAGUCAAAAUCCGAUGAGUAAUUGAAAUCAAACAAAUUAAAAAGUUGGAUGGUAAAAUCAAAAUUUUACAAAAUUGAUGGAUCAUUCAAAAUGGUCCCUAGUUCCAAAAAGUUCUAUACAUUUUUACCCUUCUUUGUCAUUUUUUUUCUUAUAUUUUUUUUUCUUAAUUUUAUGCCAUAUUGAACGACAUGAUAUACUAAGCUAAUUCUUAAAUAGCACCAAGCUCAUUUUGCAUGUUUCCACAAAUGAGCCAAAGUAUAGCAUGCAAAUGGUAUGGCUAUCUCUACAGAUUUAGCUAGAAAACUAAGUAAAAAAGCAAGUGACAUCCAUAUCAGAGAAGUGUUUCAUGGCAGGGAGGUUCAUCGUUAAUUCAAUCAAUCUCCAACUUCUCUGCAGAUUAUGUCUAAAUCCAAGAAAAUUCUCAUUCUCCCAGUGAAGUCAAACAAAGUACUAUUGAAGGAGCAUUACACACCAGGUGUUUCUAAAUCUGAUACUGCUCUCCCAGGAAACAAAAUGUACAUACUCAUUACAGAUUUAUUUCGUCACAGCAUCCAUAAUGAUAUGAUGGUAACAAGCAGUACACCUCCUUUGCAAAUAUUCUGAUUUUCACAUUGCACUUCUGAAAAAAUUAAAACAUACCUUUUAUAAUAUCCACCUACAAGUGAACUAACAUUGGUUUUAAGCAUAUGGGGGGUGAGAAAAAAAGAAAAUGAUGAGCACAAUAUUUAUGAGAGGAUUUCAUACAUUUUACCCUAACAAGUUGGUACCUAAAAUUAGAUUGAAUCGGGCAAGAUGAGAGUUUCCGGAAGGAGGGCUUAGCAACUCGGUGGCAUGGAGGAUCGCAAAACAUUUGAUUAUGGAAUCUGGUUGGGUCAAAUAAUCCCAGAAUAGUGGGAUUCUUGAAGGGGUUUGAAUUCAAAAGUCCUGUUUUAUCUUGCCAUGCACACUGCCAACCUAUUAUGAUCCUCAACACGUCUGAAUCGCUAAACCAUCCCUCUCCCCGUUUUAUCUGUAUCCAAUCUAAUUAUGGUUGCCAAAAGGGCCCUAGGAGUUCUCUCUCAUCAGAUACAAUGAGGUGGAAAGAAUUCAAAUACAUCGAUCACUGGUUACCAACUAAAGGGCAUCAUCAACUCCGGUUUGAAACCAAAUGAUUCGGAAUCCAAGCCAGUUGCCUCUAAAUGGACGGCAGUCAGUAUUUCCUUCUCGUCACAAAUAUUUUCAAAAUUGACACCAUAACCAAAAAAAUCACUGUUUACGUGACCAUUCCCCACUCUUUCCCCCACUUUUGUGCUUGAGCUGGACCUCCGUAAUGCAAAUAUCCUUUGAAGCAGCCUUGCACAUGUCGUAUACAGUAAGUCCUGCAACAGCCACAGCCGUCAGUGCUUCCAUCUCCACACCCGUUUUACCGGUAGUCGUAGCCUCUCCUUCUAUCUCCACGCUAAAUUCCUCCUUAUUAAGAGUAAGAUCAACACGGAUGUGUGUCAGCGAAAUAUUAUGGCACAAAGGGAUGAGACUGCUCGUCUGCUUAGCACCGUUGAUUCCGGCAAUUUUCGCCACAUUUAGAACGUCUCCUUUUGCUAUCUGGUUGGAGGAAACGAGAUUGAACACUUUUGGGCCGAGGAGUACUCUGCAAUUAGCUAUGGCGACUCUUUUUGUGUCUUCUUUUGAGGAUAUAUCUACCAUUGUGGCCUGCCCACUACUGUCAACAUGAGUUAGUUUAGGUUGGCUUUUGACAGAAGGAGAACCUAGCUGGGGUUCCUUAGAAGCACUUAGGGUAAAAGCACCGCUUGAAGGGGCUUCGCCAAAUAUCGACUCCAUUUCCUGAGAUUAUAGGUUACAUGAAAAUGUAAUGGAGAGAAUAAUAGAUCAGUGCAAUGAUAUAGAAAUCAUUUGUGAGUGGUGUAUACUAUUGCUAUCCAAUCAUUAAGAUUAUUGAGUUUAGUAUGCAUGUUAUACAGCUCUACGCGAAACAGAGUACCAACGUAUACAUGAUAAAUGUUUUCAGCCAAAGAAAAAUCAGAUGGAGAUUAUCAGUUUGCUAACAACUGUCAGUGAUUUAAGCACAUAUUUACGAAUAUAAAUGCUCUACACAUGCUUUAAACUACAUCAUACACAGUAUCAACUAUAAGCAAUUUGAUAAACAACAGUAUCUCAUACUCUCAGGCCAAAUUGGACUGAUAAAUCAUUUAGCAUGCAACUAUAAACCACGGUCAUAAUAGUGGAGGUAUAAGUUCACCUAUUCGGUUAUUGAGCAAAGAAGUGAUGAAACAGAACUCAGAAGAUAGAGGGAAGAGUCGCGGAACUUUUCUAAAAUGUUAUAAAAUGUAUAAUCAAUGGUAAUAAGCAGUUACCAUGAAAUACAGUCUACUUUGAUUGCCGAAAAAUAAUCACAUAUUAAAGAACCAAAUAUGCAAUUAUUUGAAUAUCACCAUAAGUACCACCUCAAUCUACUAGUUUGGAACUAGAAUGUAUGGAUAUUAUAAUAAGCUAGCUCUUUACUCAUGGAAGAGGCACAGAUACACCUCAGUUUAAUAUAUUUGUUUGGACAAAUUGCACAAGGGUUCACAAAAAGCCUUUCUUCAAUUCUUUUGUGUGCUAUGGUACAAGUAUUUUCCAAUGAUAAAGCUUCAACAUUUCAUUGAUUAUUGUUAUGGGUAAUCUAAUCUAUUUAGAAAUCAGAGGCCAUUGUGUGGGCUACAGCCAAUUGUCACCCUAAUCUGAAAGUAUACGCCAGAGAAAGUUUCGCCUAUACUCUAUGGAACAAGAUUUGCCACUAAUUUAGGUCAGGAUGGGCAGUAUGUAUCCAGUUGACAAGGUAUGGAUGCAGAACAUUCCCUGUCAACUACAAAACGCAAAGAACCUUUUUCGACCUUUUUCCAAUAAAAAAAAGAACUUGGAAUAUCUUUGUGAUCACUUUUUUUAAACCAUUCAUGCAUUUAAAAGAUUUGAUUUGAUAAAAUCAGGUGUUAAUCCGGGAAAGGAUUGAUUCCCCAACUUGCAACCAAUCAAUUUAAGUGCAAUCAACGAAAAUUUAAUGAAAUUAGUAAAAGAAUAAUGGACAUAUAUGCAGAUUGCAAUUGAAGAAUUAAUCACUUAGUUGCAAUAGAGUUUAAAUUAAAUUGAAGAUUAAUUUUAGAAAAUUAAGUUUUCCAAAAUUUUAAUCCUUAAAUGGAAAUCUAGCUUAUUAUUUUCAAGAAACUUGUUGCCAUUAGAGCAAUUCCGUCAAUGAGUUAAAGAUACUGCAUGACAAGUGACAACACAAUUAAGAACAAUUAAGAUAGAAUUCAAGAAACAAACAGGAGAAUAAAGAAAAAUCUAUGGCAAGAGUAUAGGUAUUCAAGUAAAGCAUAUUAGUGGCCUGCAGCACAAAAUUCACCCUCUGCAGGGUCGUCCUAUGGCUAAUAAAAUGCCAAGCCCAGUGACAUGCCGUGAUACUUGCUGCAGUGAUUGUGUCUUUAAACAAUUAAUUACUUGUUGUUCUUGAUCAUUUUGCUGUGGGAAGCUCACUUUUUAUUUGAUUACUUAAUUAGCAAUGCUUGCAAGUGAAUAAUUGUCCUGAAUAAAUAUUACUCUUCUAUCAUGAAAUAAUUUCAUGUAUUGCUUUCUGAAGAUUUGUAAUACCAGUUUCUUUGUUCGUGACAUCUUGUAUAUGCAGCAUAGUUUUUUCAGAACCCCAAAGCAGCAACUUCAUGAAGAAGUCAGCGCUACUUCAGGAAAAAUAAUAUCACUAGCAUUACAAAUAUGUAACCUCCUUAUUCAUAUAUUAGGUGUUUUCAGCUCUGAAAUGUGAGAUGAUAUGGUACUUUUCACCUAAAGAGGAGCAUUAAGCAUUUGAAAUAAUAACUAGACAGGCAGCUUUUCGUUAAGAUAUAACAAGCUACUUUAAUCGAAUGACUCUUAACUGGUCAUAUGCAGUAAUGAUUUCUUAAAUGGCAAAAAGAUUCAUUGUAGGUCAAUUCAUCUCGGAAGAAAGAUUGGUUACACUGACAAGCGUAAAGAGAUUACCUUAUUAAGCUCCGUGAUUGCAUGAUCAUAACCAUCGUUACUGACGAAGCGUCUUCCUAGAGAAUAGUGAGCUCUCAUUGAUCUUAGAAGCAUGCUCCGAACAAUAACCAUUGUAAUGCUGAUAUGUUUAUCUAGAUAACUGAAAUAGGGGAGAAACAUACCUAAUCAGAGGAUCCAGAACAGUAACAUACUUUUCUCUACACAACAAUCAACAAAAAUCUCCUAAGCAUUAAGAAGCUUCAAUAUCUCACAGCAAUCCAAGGAAAGGAUCUCUAUGUCCAUGCUGGAAAGAUUUUGUACAGUUACCUCUUUCUUUGUUACUAGUAGAGGCAAGCUGUUCAAUAGAAUCACUUUCGUUUUCCGCAUAAGUGUGCAAAUUUUGAAAUGCAAAUGAACACGAAUAUAAGCUUCAAAAACCAACCUUAAAAUCGGAAAUCAAAACCAUGGAUGCCAGCACAUUGAUUUGGAUAAGCAGAAGAUGAAAAAGAGGGAAAAGCAAAAGGUGGAGCAGUAUGACAAGAAUAGUCAGUGCCUAAAGAUGCGGCACUGAGAGAAAAAAGGAGGUGACAGGGUAGAGAAAGGGGAGGGACAAUGAAGGGUGGAGGAAGGAGACCACAGCCCAGAUAUCUGAAGUAGAAGGCAGAGCAGGGGUUGGGUGCGGAUUUGUGUGCAUAUUUUGGGUCUACUUGCACCCCAUGCAUCCAUACACAUCAUUCCUCAGGGUUUUUGGGAGACUAACCCUACAGAAUUUUUUAAUUAUAAAAAUAGACAUUCAAAAUUUUUAUUUAUAAAAUUAGGCUUAAACGGUAAAUAGUUUACCUUUUUUAGAUUCACUGCUUUCUAGAAGUAUUAAGUCAUUCACCGCUUUUCCCAAAUUUUUUCUCAUCCGAACUCCGAAGGAUGUAUAACAUUAAACAAUAAAAAUAAUUUUAAUGUUUUGAGAAAGCAAUAAACAGUUUACCGCAUUUAAAAAACGGUGAAUCGUUCACCGCAUAAGACUAGUUUAUAAAUAAUUUUUUUUGAAGGCCUAUUUUUACAAUUAUUAUUUUUUAAGCCUAUUAAUAAAAAAAAAUUCUCAUUCAUCGCCCCCUUAUAUUUGAUGGUAAAUAUCUUAAAAAUAUAAUCUAAUUAAAUAAAUACAAUAUAUAAUAUGUAAAGAGCCUAUAUACAAACAAACAUAAAAGUUCUGAAAGGCCAUUAUCUAGCCAUCAAAUAGUCCCAAAAAAAUCAAUGGUAGAGAAAAGAUUCUUUUUUUUUUUUGGGUGUGUGUUGAAGGAAUCAGUGUUCAAAAUUUAUGAUUUUUUGAUAUGUAGGUCUUUUGAACUUGAGUUAGAUUAUGAUAUUGAAGCCUCCGUGAUAUAAUUUUAGGGCCUUAUCAUAAAAAAAAAAAGGUAAAAAUGUAUAGAAACCUUCUCAACUAUAUGCUUUUUUGAAGAAGACUCCUCAGCUAUAUUUCAAUUGAGCCCCUCUCAAUUCGAUUUAUUUUAUUUUAAUUUUUAUACUAAGUUAAAACUUUUAUUAAAGUGAAUAAUCAAUUUAGAUUUAUUUGCCAGAAGAACAAUUAAAGUUAUUAAAUUUGAUGAAUAAACUGAUGAAUUUGAUAAAAUCUCUAAUUUAAUUGACUAAAAUCGCUAAAUUCUAGAAAAACGAGUUUAAUUAGAUAAAUAAGGACUACAAUUUUUUAAAGAUGAUUUUAUGCAUAAAAAAAAAAUCAUGCAUUUUGAAUGCCUAUUAUCUGGCCAUCAAGAAAUAGAGGAUGAACAAUUCAGCGUUGGCAGAAGGACAAAGUGGUUACCGUGAGAGGAGAUGGCACAGCCCGAGGGGAGGCGGGUGUUGGAGUGUGAGGGGGGUCAGAGUGCGAGGGGCGUCGGAAGACUGCCUCUACCGUCGCCACUACGGGGGGUUUUCGAUCGCCAGCCACACCACGCCCACAAUACUCUCCUCUUUCUCUCUCCCUCUCUCUCACCCCACCCCCAAAAUUCAUUCAUGUAGAGCCCUAAUACUCUCUCUCUCUCUCUCUCUCUCUCAAAUAGUAAUGGAAGAUACCCAACACCCUCUCCAAAUUAUAUUUAGGGGCCAUAUUGCGCUAUUAGUAAUGCUACAUUAUUUACUGAAUUAUUAUAUACGAAAUAAAGCAAAUGCACUAAUCUGAAAAGAUUUAUAUAAAAUUUUUAUAAUCCCGGCAGUAUAAGGCCAACCAAAAAGGCCCUGGAAUAAUCUUGCGCUAUUACUUAUCAUGUAUUACUAGCAAAAUUACGUAACGUUAUAAUUUAAAAAGCUCUAUGAAUAAUUCCUAGUAAUCCUGGCAGAAUAAGAUGAACCAAACAUGUCUAUAGGUAAAAUAUAUAAGAAAAAUUGCUACAAGUACACUCCAUAUAGAGUGCGCUUCUUACUCCCUUUACAUUCUUAGAUUUAAAAAUCCUAAUACGUUUUCGUUAAAAGAAAAAAGAAAUUUAUAUGGCAAACGAAUAAAUCUAUAUUAUAAAGAGCCUAGGGCGUAAGAUCCACACUUAUGAUAUGGAUAUAUAUGUUGGAUUGGUCGAUAUAUUAUUUUAUUAAAUCAUGACAGUUGAAAUUUUUAAGGGUGAAAAUCGAAAACCUAGCUCCAAAUCUUACAAGAAAAAAAAUCUUUGUACCAAAUAAAUUAUCAUUAAUUAAAUUAUUCUUACCAUAAUUAUUUAAUUCAGAUUCGGCAAAAAUUCGGUACGGGUAUAGUACGAAUAAAAUUUGUAUCCUAUAAAUUCAUAAAAAAUUAUGGCUAAAAAACGGAUUCGCCAAUUAUUUGGAUACGUGAUUUAUAUGGAUAUUAUACGUUCACCAAUUAAAAAUAUAUGAUAAAAAAUUCGGCUAGUAAAUUAAGUUUUUUUUUCGUCUAGAUUUAUGCUAUUAGCAUAAAUACUCAUAAUUCCUAAGAAUAUAAAAAUAAAGAACUACAAAAUUAAGCAGAUUAAGUAAAAAAAGAAUAGCAAACUAUAUUAUGCCCCACAAUAUGUAAAUAAUCAAGCAAAUAAGCGAUUAAGAUAGUCCAUAUUUAAAUAUAAAACAUAAAGAUUCGCAUACAAGCAUAAUUGGAAAUUAAAUACAAGAUAAAGCAACAGUAUCAACCAUAUAUAUAUAUAUAUAAGAAAACUGUUAUAAAUAGAAAUCAAAAGUAAUUAGGGAGAAAAAAAUAAUAUUGCUAGGAUUCUAAAAAUAUGGCACUUAACAUGCAGAUAAUAACAAAUAUUAAUUUCACUCAUAGUCAUGGAAAAUAUGAAUUUGUAGUUUUGUACCAAAUGAAGUUGGCGUGCCGCAGCGGAACAGCGGAACUCGGAACCAGAUUGCGAGUGGUGCGCGGCCACGCAGGGUGUUCCGAUGGCGAGUGGCUCGCGGCCGGGGUGGUUCCAAACUUGAGAUGGUGAGCAGCACUCGGCCUCGCGGAGGGUUCCGGUUGAGCGCGCAGUUUUUCUUCUUUUUUUUUUUUCCGUUUUGAGCGAGCGUGCAAAGAGGAGCGGAUGGAGUACGGACAUCCCAACAUAAGUCCUUUUUUUUUAAAAAAAAAAGGGAAUAAUUCCGCGGUAGCGAAAUAUUCGUCAAUAAUAAUCUAAAAAUAAAAAAUAUAUUUUUAUUUUAAAUUUUGAAAGAAAUUUGUAUACGCACUAUUUUAUUCAUUUGCUUAUUUAAUAAUUUACGAAUUCACUNGGAGGGCUCCGGUUAAGCGCGCAGUUUUUCUUUUUUUUUUUUUCCGUUUUGAGCGAGCUUGCGAAGAGGAGCGGAUGGAGUACGGACAUCCCAACAUAAGUCCUUUUUUUUAAAAAAAAAGGGAAUAAUUCCGCGGUAGCGAAUUAUUCGUCAAUAAUAAUCUAAAAAUAACAAAUAUAUUUUUAUUCUCAAUUUUUAAAAAAAUUUAUAUACGCACUAUUUUAUUCAUUUGCUUAUUUAAUAAUUUACGACUAACAAAAAUUUUUACAACCAAACACAAUCUAAUACUGGACAAAUUGUACCACAUUCUCCAACAUGAGUUCUAUUUUGCUCUAUAUAGUUAUAGAUUUGAUAUUACAAAGGUAAAAUAUACAUAAUUUAUAUAUACUAUAAACUAUUUUGAAUAGACUAUCCUGCAUUUUAAUAGAGGCUUUCGCUGUAAUUCUGGUGCGACGCUUUAUCCGUUUAACUUUCAAUAGUACUUUAUUUUAGUUCUUAUCUUAGACUAAAAAUUAUAAUUUUUCUAUCUAAUAUAGUAGGGCUACUAUACUCUUAUGAAUAUAGACUUCUUUUUACUCAUAAAUUAUUUUUGACAAUGGAACUUCCGAAUUUACGAUCUAUACCAUUAAAUAUAAUUUAGAGUAUUUAAAAUUUUUAAAAAAUAAAUUUUGUGAUUUUUAAAAUUAUAUUAAAGUCCAUCAAGUGGGCAUAAAAUGAAUGGUCAAAAUUAAAUCAAGUCCUAAAAAUAGAUGAUCGAAUUUUUUAAUUUAAGAUCGGAGUUAUUGAUCUUAUUAAGAUAGUGAAUAGAAUGUUCUAUAAAAAGUUCAACCAAUUUUGAUGUUUUUGUACUGUUAAAUUAACAAGUAUCUUAUACGAGCUGUUAAAAAUUAUCAAUUUUAAAAUCUUUUGAAGGUAAAUGAUGUCGAAAAAUUAUAAAAUUUAAUUUUUAAAAAUUUUAAAUGCUCUAAAUCAUAUAUAAUAGUAUGAAUUAUCGAUUUAGAAGCUUUAUCAUCGAAAGCGACUUAUGAGUACGAAGGCAAUCAUACGCAUAAGAGUAUAGUAGUCGGACUCUCUCUCUGUUUAUACUUAUAUAUAGAGAGAGUCCAGCUACAGUGCUAUCAGUAGCACCAAGAACUUAAUGCUAUUAAGUUUUUCGCUGUUAGAUUUACCCUUUUGACCAUUUCUAUGUAUAGAGAGGAUAGAAAGAGAGAGUCCGGCUGCUAGCUAUCAAUAGCACCAAGCACUUGGUACUACUAAAUUUUUUGCUGUUAGAUCUACCCUUUUGACCAUUUCUAUGUAUAGAGAGGAUAGAAAGAGAGAGUCCGGCUGCUAGCUAUCAAUAGCACCAAGCGCUUAGUGCUACUAAGUUUUUCACCAUUAGAUCUACCAUUUUGACCUUUUUUGCCCGUUAUAUCAUACUAUUCGACCAAUCACCUCCCUAACUCUUGGGGACCACUAUCAUUAUAACCGCAUAUCUCUUCAUCUAAGGGCCGAAAAUCUAAUAGCACCAAUGACUUGAUAAUAUUAAUAAUAUAAUAGCCUAACCAACUGUCCCUAGAGCAAGUGGCAAAGGGCUUGGUAGUUGGUAUCCGAGACCCAAAUUCGAAUCCUAGUUGAUUCACAUUUCUAGCUAAGUUUAUUUAUAAAUGAAAUAAAUGAAGCGAGUAACAUGUUACCCAUCUCUCUCUCAAAAAAAAAAAAAUAUAAUAGCCUAGUUC
rnacentral:lncRNA from 1 species